rnacentral:lncRNA from 1 species
UAUACACCGAAUGUUCUAUUCCAUAUAACUGUGGUAGUAUAAUAUUAUAACUUCACCUACAACCUGUAAUACUAAACAUAUCCCAACCCUAAACCCUAGAUACUAAACAUUGUCCCAAUCACACCUCAACCCAUAAAUACUAAACCCUAAAUUAUAAUAACUAAACCCUUACCCAAAUAUAAACGCUAAAUCCAAAUAUAAACUCUAACCCAAAUAGAAUAGAACAAAGUAAAUAACAUAGUACAUAUUGGUGAAAUUAUAAAAUGUCUAUGAUUGCAUGAAAGAAGUUAAUGUUGACCUCAACCAUACCCUCUCACCUUCAAAAUACUAAACCAUAAAUUAUAAUCACUAAACCCUUACCCAAAUAUACACCACAAACCCAAAUAUAAAUUCUAACCCAAAUAGAAUAGAAAAAAUAAAUAACAUAGUAUAUAUAAGUGAAAUUAUGAAAUGUCUAUGAUUACAUGGAAGAAAUUAAUGAUAAUCCUAACCAUACGCCCUCAUCUUCUAAUACUAAACCCAAAAAUCUAAUCACUAAACCCUAACCAAAUAUGAAUUCUAAACCUUAAACUUUAUUUACUAAACUAUAAACUCAAAUAUAAACCUUAAACCCAAACAACAAAUAUAGUUGUGGUUAACAAAAUUUGUCCAAGUUUACAUUUACGAGGAUCUGGUUGAUGAAAUGAUAAAAUUUAAAUUUAAAUUCUUAGUUUUGAUCAAUACGCAUAAACUAAGAUUCAUAGCAAUGAUACAACAACAAAACAUAACUUAUGCUUAUGCAUUGUACAAUCAUAUAUAUAUUCUCUAUUUUGCAAAUAGAAUAGAAUACAACAAAUAGUAAAGAUAAUAUAUUCCAUUUCACAUGAAUGGUCUUUCUAUUUUACGUACACACGAUCUAUUCCACUUAUAUAUAUAUAUAUUGCAUCAUUACAUAUAAAUGAGAAUAUAUUCACCAGAUGGCUCAAAUCCAAUUUCGAACAAUCUACUUGGCAGCUUAAAUCUUCCGUUUGUAACUUGAGAAACAAAAGCGAAAGAUAAAGAUGUUAGGAUCCAUAUAACAAAGUAAAUAUAAGAUAAAUUGUAUAGUAUAACAAUAGUGUGGAAUGGAUACCAUGUAAGACGUAACUAUAUACAUAGCUCACGAUUUUAAACCACACAUGGGAAUAUAUACGAAACCCUAUCAACUAAUCACGAAACCCUACACAGAAAUAUGACACUUAAUCCAAUGGCAACCCCAAUAUUGCAAUAACGAAUUCAAUACUCCAAAAACAAACCCUCUCCAAUUAGCACUAAGGAAGUAUUAAAAUACGUAAAUAUUAAAUACGAGUAUGAAUUCAGAAGCUAAAGAAGGUGAUAUUAAACGUUCGAUUUUAUUCCAUUCAAAGGCAAAUGGAAUAUACCUAACAAUGAUCAUGUCAUUUCCGUAUGUAACGCAUAUGCUAUUCCAUAUCAAAACAAUAUUACUACAUCAUGUACUAUGCAUAUCAGAUAAAAACACAAAUAAAAUUUAAGAAAGACUACGAACAACCAGAAAACCACAACUGAGUAUACAGUAUGGAACUUAGUCGCAUAAAGCAGAUCCGACAUUCACCGUCGAUGAUGUUGUAUUUAACAUUUAUAGUACCCUAUUUCUGAGUAUAGCCAAAAUAGAAAAGAAAAUAACAGCAAAUGAAGACAAUCGGGCGGAAAACACACAAAACUUACCGUAGUUGAACACAUCCGAGUAGAAUCGAAUGUGGGAAGUGGAAUAGACACGAGGUGUUGAUAGACGUCGCUGCAGCUUUAUCGCCGGCGAGGGGCGUCUGAUUUCCGAAGCGGAGUAUCUCAGGCGAUUACAAACCACAAAAGAGAAGUCAAAAUCUGAGAGAAUCAGAAGGACGUGACGGUGUUUCUUCACUCGGUGCCGGAGACCUUUCAACUUCCACGAAGUUACCAAGAGAAGGAAAAAGAAAGAUGUGAAGGGAGGUAAGCCAUGAUUUAACUUUUACAGAUAAUAAUAAAGAUUUUUAAUUAUUUUUUUUUGUUGCUGGUUUCACCGGUUGAUCCAAAAGGGGCAAAACAAUAUUAAUAUGGAAAAUAACACCGUGUAUAGGACUGUUAGAGAAAUUGGUUAGUCUGUGAAUUAUACGUUUUGUUUGGUUAUACAGCCCAAUUUCCCUUUUAAGAUCUACUUGUUUCUCUUUUAAUAGGAAAAAAACUAACUUUUUAAUCCAUAAUUUUAAAAAACAAGACAAAGAGCUUGAACUCCAAAACAUUUUAACCUAUUAAAAGGAGAGUACAAAAUUAGAUUACCCCUUAUUUUUACCACUUAUUUACAAUGAAACGCCAUUGAGAUAUUUAUUGAACCUAUAUUUAAGUAUGUUUAUCUUUUUCUAAUUUAAAUUAUAGAUUUCCUUAAUCGAAUCUUAACCAAAAUAGAUUUUCUAAUAAAUUUCCUAAUAUAUUUCAUAUUAACAUAUUAAAUAUUUUCUGAUAUUUAUUAGUAAUAAAUAAUAAAUUAAAAACCACAUAUCAUAAUCAAUUUAUAAAAUAUAUAAAUAAAAUAUAAAAUAAUCUAUUCAUAAAUUAUUGGUAUAAUAUUUUCAUAUAUAUAAGUUCAAUUAACUAUCUAAUCUAUUUUUUUUACAGCAAUAAACACUAAAACUAUGAACUAAUUCCUACCGGUUCAGAUAGCCAAACCGGUGGGAUAGAAUCAACAUAAAAUACAGCUGAAGGGGAACUCCGUGCACCACGUGCAAGCUUGUCCGCCACUCCGUGUCCACGUGCAAACUAUCUAAUCUAUUAAAAGAGCAGAACAAAAUUAUAUUACCUCUUAGUUUUACCACUUAUUUACAAUGACAUGCUAUUGAUAUAUUUAUUGAACCUAUAUUUAAGUAUGUUUGUCUUUUCCUAAUUUAAAUUAUAGAUUUCAUUAACGUAUUAAAUGUUUUCUGAUAUUUAUUAGUAAUAAAUAAAAAUAUUAAAAACCACAUAUCCUAAACAAUUUAUAUAAUAUAUAAAUAAAAUAUAAAAUAUUCUAUUCAUAAAUUAUUGGUAUAAUGUUUUCAUAUAUAUAAGUCCAAUUAACUAAUUGAACUUAUAUAUAUAUGAAAACAUUAUACCAAUAAUUUAUGAAACACUAUGAUAUAUUAAACGAUUAAAAUAACAAACAUAUAAUUAUUCAAGGUAAUAAAUAAAACUACUAUGUUUUAACUAAUUGUUAGUAUUUACAAAUAUAUAUUAUACCAUUUAGUACAAAAAAAAAAUUAAAGUGAAAACAAAUAUUCAGACGGUCACAGAUCAAACUUUAGGAAUACACAAUAAUAGCGCGAGAUAUUUUUUUAACAAAUUUAUUUUAAUAGAAAUUAUAAUUCCAAAACUUUUUAAAUUUAUUCUAUUUAUUUUAAGGGGUGCUAAAAUUUUAGAAUUAGAAAGAUUUAUGACCCAACCCUAUAUUGUUUUAGUAUGAAUAAUUGAAAUUUAUAUCAUAAUAUUUUAUUAAAAUUUUAAUUUUACUUUUUGUUAUAAUUGCAUAGUUUACUUUUCAAUCUCAAUUUAUGAAUAGAAGGUUCAACUUUAUUUUGUGAUAUACAUUUUUGUUUGUAAAAAACAAUUUAAAAUAUAUACUACAAAAUUUUAUGGAGUAACAGCAAACAAAUAUAUGACUUUAUAAAUUAUGAAAUUAUCUACAAAAAUGGUAGAAGAAGUAAAGGAAGAAGAAGACCGUACAUGUUGACUAUAACAUUAUUUUUUUCAAAAAAACCAUAAACGUUUGAAAACAUGGUUAAUGUUAAGAAUAUUUACCAUUAACGAUGUAAAUUGUUUUUUACAUAUAUAAAAAUUAAAGCAAACGUCUUAUUCCAUGGCUGCGAUGCUUUUACUCCUUCAUCAAACAGGAUGAUCGCAGAGCUGUGUGGUAUCAUUUGGGUCCUGCAGAGUGUGCGCGACCUGCAUCUUGAUUCAAUCUGCAUUGCCUCAGAUCAUCGAGACACUGUCGAAGCUGUAAUGUCCCCUGCAACGUGGCCACGAUUUCGGUGUCUCUUAGAACAUAUCACGGUCCUUCGUAGUUCCUUCUUGUCAGUCUCUUUUAAAGUUGAGAAAGUGGGGGCUAACUUAAUAGCUCGAGAUAUCGCGCGAAGUGUAAUGAGAGAUGGAUGCCUGCACUCUUAUCUUGCUCUAGGCGGACCAGCUUGGCUCCACAAUCGCAUCAUCCGAGAAGCAUCAAGACAAGACUAAUUCAUCUUUCCUUUAAGAUUUUGUCUUUGUCUCUUGUAGUUGUUCUUGUUUUAUGGUUUGGGAUCCCUCCCUUCUCUUGUCUUUGUUAUCAGACGAUCAAAGAAAAAUGGAAGCAAACACCCGCGCGGUUGUGUGGGUCAAGGUCUAGUACUAUUUAAGCCAUAACUCCUUGUUUACAAAAAAAAAUAGAAGCAAACACCCGUGCGGUUGCGUGGGUCAAGGUAUAGUACUAUUUAAGCCAUAACUCCUUGUUACAAAAAAAAUCAUGAACUCCUAAUUAAACAUGAAAAACCAUGAGUAUUUUUGACCAAGCCCUUUUAACAUCUUAAUUAAUCAGCCGUAAAUUAUUAUAUAACAUACGCUAAGUCAGUAAGCGACAUCGUUUUGACAAAACAAAAUAACCAUAAUCUAAACCCUCAAAUCCCCAAUUCAUCUAUCUCAAAUCUCAAAUUUUCUCAUUUCUUCACAGUCUCAAACAUCUUUUUCUCUCUUCACAAAACUCAAAACUCUACAGAAGAAGAUGGGUCUGAAGGAGAGAGAUAAUUUACUUAUCAAUACGGAGGAAAGGUCGGUUAGAGUCAAAGAAGUUCAAAUCGAAAAUAUCAGAGGUGAAGAUGUUCGAGCCAAAAAGACUAUAGUUGAAACAACUACAAAAGAAAACGAGGGAGGAAAUGAAGAAGGAGAAGUAGUUGGAGAAGAUGAUUAUGAAGCUAUUGUGGAUGAUGAUGAUAAUUAGUUAUAAGGGAAUCAGAGUUGAUGAAAAAGAUUGUACAUAUUUGAAAGUUUAUUUUGGGGAUGUUGCUAGAGAAGCAGAAGAAGCAAGUGAUGUGAAUAGUGGCGACGACAUAUGGGAUGAAGAUAUUAUUCCCGAUUCGUUAUCAUCUGAUGACGAUGAAGAAGCUGUGGUGUGUAAAGAGAUGCGUGCCAACACAGACAACAAUGAAGAGCUCUUAUUCCUGAAGAAGACAUUUGAUAGUGAAGCUGCCUUUAAGGUUGCAUUGCUAAUGUACUCUAUACAGACUUGAUACGACAUUAAACUUAUUCAUCGAAACAGUUUGGUACGAAAUGUUCAGACAAAGAGACAGAGUGUCCAUGGAGAGUGUAUGUUCUAAUGAGAGGAGGAAGCACAAAAUGCAGAUCAAAGUAUACAUCAAUGAGCAUAUAUGUUUGAGAUCGGGCCACUCAAAGAUACUAAAAUGUCAUUAAUUGCGUCAAUCUUUGAAAAGAGAUUAAAGAUAAACUUGAAGUUCACCAAAAAAGAAAUGGCUGAUGGAAAAAAUAUUCAAUUUAAUUGUCACCGAGGAGCAAAGUGCAAAGCCAGAUCAGAACGAUACUGAGAAAGAAAAAUAGGCUAUGAAACACACUCCUCUCGCAUAUAGGAUUAUAAGACAGAGGUUGUGAAAACGAACCCAUAUUCUACAGUAGGGAUUGAGACCAUUUCAAGGGAAACUUCAGCAACCAAACAAAGGUUCAGUCGCAUGUAUGUUUAUUUUACAUCGUAAAUAGUAGCUUGGAUAGAAAUUUGUUUUUAUAAGUGUGCUUCUUAUUAUCCCAUCAAUAUUUAUUAAAAAAUAUUUACAAAAACAUUUAAAAAGUAUUUACAAGAUGUUAAUGUUCACUAAAAGUUUUUUACUCAAUUAUCAUAUUGUUCUUUCGAAGAGUAUUUUUGCAUUUAGAAUAUAUAUAUAUUUAAAAUAAUUAUAUUUAAUUAUUUUAUUUUAUCUCAAAACAUAAAUUUAUAUCUUAUAUCCAAAAAUUAAUUUUAUAUUUUUUAAAAAAAAAUUAAAAUAUUUUUAACUUCUUAAAUAAUAAUAUUUCACUUUUAAAAUAUAAUUUAUAUAUAAUUAAAUAUGAUUCAUUAUUUUAAUAACAAAAAUAAAAACUAAUAUAUAUAAUAUUAAAUAUACAUAUAUUAUAAAUAAAUAAAAUAUAUAUCAUAUAUUACUUUUUAUGAUAAUCUUAUACAUAAAUAAUUUAUUGUUUGACCAAUCACUUUACUAAAUAUAUUAGCAGUAUUAUAAUUCUUCUAUAGCAUACCGGUAGUGCUUUAUCAUGAGCUCUACCAACCAAUAGAGUUAGUAAAUGAUAUAAAAAAAUUGUCUCUUUUAUUUUAAAUUAAUAAAUGGUUUUGUUUCUAUCAAUAGUGGUAAAUAAAUUAAAUUUUAAUUAAGUAAUAAUGUAAAAAUAUUUUUGGGGUUUUUUCAAAUAUUACUCAAAAUUUGGAGUCAACCCCAAAAGUAACUCAUGUUUUUUUUGAAAAUUUCAUCUGACAUAUUCACCCUAGAAGUUAGAAUUAUUCACGAAAAUACCAUUAUUUUUUCUCCGAAAUUGAGUGUUUUACUGUAUCAUCCUUAUCUUCAUUAAGUAUUUAUAAUAUUGAUAUUGCCAUCAAUACACCAACCACCAUGAACAACAACAACCAAUUUAAAGCUAUUAAUGGCACCAAAAAUUUGAAGCUAUUAAUGAACCAAUUUGAAGGCGGUUUAGGGUUCAAAGACAUCACUGAUUUUAAUACGGCGAUGCUUGGUAAACAGUUAUGGCGCCUGAUAGAAAAGACAAACACUUUAUUUUCUCGAGUUUUCAAAGGUCGGUAUUAUAGGAAUGCUUCACCCUUGGAACCGAUUCGUUCAUAUUCUCCGUCAUAUGGCUGGCGGAGUAUUGUUUCUGCUAGAUCUCUGGUUAGCAAAGCAUUUAUCAAAAGGGUGGGAUCAGGGUCUUCUAUAUCUGUAUGGAAUGAUCCUUGGCUCCUAACCACUCGCCGAAACCAGCUAAUAAAAAUCAACACAAUUUGUACCCGGACAUUACAGUAGAGUCUCUCAUUGACUUUACCUCGCGCACUUGGAAUUUGGUGGAUCCUCAGAAUGCGAAACUUAUAGAAAGCAUACCACUGAGCAGGACUGAGAGGGUACAUAGAGAUGAAUGACACUUCACAAAAAAUGGGAAAUAUACAGUCAAAUCAGGAUAUCAGAUAGAGCGGAUCUAUCCAGAUAGAGAAAGACCACCACUACUGAUUGACCCCACAGUUGAUUUUUGAAGGCUUACUGCUGGAAAAUACGGUGCCCACCAAAGUUAAAACAUUUCCUACGGCAAUUAGUGACAGGGUGUAUAGCAGUGCGGAAGAAUUUACAAGCGAGGGGGAUUCAAGGGGAUAUUUGUUGUGUAAGAUGUGGAGCUUACAAGGAAUCGAUAAAUCAUGUGUCUUUUGAAUGUCCUCCAACUCUCCAGGUUUGGGCUCUCUCGAAGAUGCCAUCAAAUCCAGAUAUUUUUCCAACAAGUUCCCUCUUCACAAACAUGGAUCAUCAAUUCUGGAGAGUUUUCCCGCAGAUGGAUGAUCACCAGUUUGCAUGGAUACUAUGGUACAUCUGGAAAGCUAGGAAUAAUAAAGUUUUCAGUAAUCUGGAUAUGGAUCCUAUGGAUACGCUUAAAUUGACAGAAACAAAAUCAACACUGUGGGCUGAAGCACAAGUAUUGAAUGACCAGAGGACGGCACCACCAAUAAUGGAUACAAUAUUGCCAUCGAUUCCAGGAAGAUGGUGUUUUACAGAUGGCUCGUGGAAAGAGGGGGUUAAUUUUUCAGGACAAGGUUGGCUCAGUAUUUUGGAAGGUAUUGAUGGAUUGUUGGGGGCGAGGAAUGUUAGGGCUAGUCUCUCGCCACUUCAUGUGGAGAUGGAAGCGCUACUCUGGGCAAUGGAAUGCAUGAGGAUUUUACGUCAAUUUCAGGCAACGGAUUGUUCUCAAUUGGUGAAGAUGGUUUCGGAACCAGAGGAAUGACCAGCUUUUGCAAAUUAUUUGGAAGAUAUCAAGAUCCUGAAAGAGAGCUUCGCCCGAUCAGAGAUUAUCUAUGUACCAAGGACGCAAAAUUCAAAGGCGGAUAGUCUAGCACGCAGUGAUAGGAAGCAACCGUCUUUUAUCGUUCACAUGGAUGCAGAUCACCCGAUUUGGUUUACAGAGUCAGUAUGAAUCUGUAUUGUUGAUGACAAAAAAAAAUGCACCAAAAAUUUGAUUUUUACUCUUCAUAUUUCAUUUCUUAUGCACAAAAUUCACAUCUCUUUCAUUUUCUCUCUAAAUUCAUCCAAAAAACCAAGAUUUUGAUUCUAAACUUGGUAAAGUUCAUAUAGACAUUGAAUCUCAUGAUUCUAAGUCAUUAACGAGUGGGUCACUUUCGUGGUGAAGUUCUGUGUGUUUGGAGAAGGUAACCAAGUUAUCUCACAAGUUCAAUGUACGAAAUCAAUUUUUUUUCAGAUUUGGUUGCGAGUAAAUCUUCUCUAGAAGACUUCUCUAACUUUUCUUUGUUAAUAAAAAUAUGCGAAAAGACUUUUCGAAAAUUCUUCUCGGAUAAACAUAUUAGUUUGGAAAUUUACCGAAGUUUGUCAGGAAUUUGACUUUUUAUAAGAUUUUCUGGGAAGUCUUAUUUACUGUUACUGAAAUCUUCUCAUUAUCGCAUGUUAGUUUUACAAUUGACAAAUUAAUAAUAAAAAAAUUAAUAUUAAUGAGAAUAGUUAUCGAGAAAAGAAGCCCACAACUUAAUUCAAACACGAAAAUACCAAAUCGGCUAAAGAAAUGUUGAUUAUAAUUUUUCACGAAGCAAAACUGAUUUAUAUUUAACUGAAUCAAAGAAUAAUCAUUGUGAAAUACAAAGAACAAACGAAGCCGAUUAAAUCAGUUAGUAGCAAAUCAAAUCAAAGUGGUAUACAACAACAUUCAAAAUAUUCUCACGGAUUUAAUCAAUCAAACAGCGACAACCGCUUCUUUCUCUUCUUUAACAGGUUCAGCCUCGGCCGUUUUCGUGGUUUCCACGUCAACCUCAACCUUUUCCGGUGUAGCAACGACAACCGCCUCCACCGCUGCUUCAGCGUUUUCUGUUGCAGCCACAUUCUCAGGUGCUGCAGCCUUACCAGCAGAAGAUGACUCUUCCACGGCCGCUGCAACCUCUGGCUCAGCAGCAGGAGAUGUUUCCUUGGUCGGCUCGACCUCAGAUGCUUCUUUAGGUUCGACAGAAGUUGUUUCAGUCUCUGUCUGGUUCUGUUUCUCACUGCUUUCUUCUGUGUUGUUUUCCUGUACAACGGUUUCAGAAACAGGCUUGUUAGGAACAGAGCUUUCUUCGUUGUUCAUGUCUGAUUCCUUGGGUCUACUCGCACAGCCACCCAUUAUUUAGUUUUCUUUUUGUUGUUGUUUUGGUUGGGCUUAGGCUGUGCAAAGUGAAAAAAAUUACACAAGAUUUUAUUGUUGACCCGAGGACUGAACAAAUGAAGAGGACAUAGUUAGGGUUAAAUAGAUGAAGACGGUUCCGAACUUUAUGGAAAGCCUUCGGUCUUUUCUUGUGUGCUGAGAAAUUUAAUUUGGAGAUGGCUAAGAUUAGUUAUCUACAGAAGGUUAGAGACUUAUAUUAGAGAUUAACAGAUAGACUCAUGAGCAAAUUUAGGGUUUCUGUAUUUGAAAUUGAUAUGGUCAAACUCAGACGUAUGGAAGAAGUUUUGUGGACCUCGAGAUUUUCGCCCUGUUUUUUUUAGUCGUUCCUAUUUAAUUAUUUUCCAAGUUUGGUUCAACUUUAGAGGCAAAAUAAAUUGAGUUAUUAACAUAAAUAUGCAUUUUGUGUCUUUUUAUUACAUGUGAGAGCACAUUGUGCUACUGGGAUACUUUUUAUUGGUUGAAGACUCAUUUUUCCUCUAAAAAGCUAAACCAAGAGGGAGUAAUGAAGUAAUUGAGUGAUUUUUUCUAGUUGGGCUAGUUAGGUAUUUGAACUUUAAUUUUUUUAAAAAAAUAGGGAUUAGGCUGGUGGACGCGAACGUAGGUAAAAUUGGAUUUUUUUUUUUCACACGGACCCGGGGAAAAAGUAACUCUCGUCAGGUUAAUUUUUUUUUCUUUAGUAACAAUAAAACGUAGAAAAAAACGAUGAAAGAGUUUUUUGACAGAGAAUGUUGUCACGGCGGAGACUGACGGAGAAGACGAUGUCUUUGCGAAAGAGGAGAGAUUUUAAGGGCAAAGAAGAAGGUUAGAUCCAUUUAUCCAUUUUGGGUUAGUGUUUCGAUUCUGGGAUUUCGUUUUUGGGAUUAAGGUUUGGGAUUUCGAUUUUGGGAUUUGGGAUUCGUGAUUUUGAUUUUAGAAUUAGGGUUUUCAGAUUUUACUAAGUCCCAGAAUUUUGUUUUGGGUUAGUGUUUUAAUUGUUCAAUUAUCUCUAAAAAAGAAAAGUCACAGUUUACGUGAGAAAAGAUGACGGAGAAACUAACCAAUAAAGGACGAAAUUAAAAUCAACGGCGACGUACCCAGGCAAAAGCAACAAUGACGACGAGGAAGAAGCGCUCAGGGAAGGAGAAAGCAAAAGGUGAGUUUAUUUGUGGUUUCCCAAUUGAGUCGGAUUUAGGGUUUCUAUGUGUAUUUGUUCUUGAGUUUGACUAGUUUCUUGUUGCACUGCAGAGGUAGCAAAAACAUAUGAGGAACGGGGAACGAUAUGAUACAGACACUUUGUCGGAUUCCCGUUGGUGCUUCAGUUGAUUUUGGCGGAGGUGCUAGAGGCUGAGCAUGAUCCUAAGGUAACUAGUUGUACACAUGUACAAACGUUUAAUGUUGUACACGUUACAUGUGUACAUAUUUACUUUGCAUAUUAUGCUUGUAUGGUUUGUAGUAGAGGUGUGUAUUGAUUUUUAUUUGGUUUGCUUUGUUUCUAUGUUUGCAGCUGAUUGGGCAAUAUGUGAUGGAGUAUGGGGAAGAUAAGGAGGAUCUUUGGGGGAAAUUUGACAGAGAUUUUUAAUCGUAAAAUUGCCAAUAUGGUUGAGCUUCUGAAGGCUGGGCACAAAUACAAAAAUCAAGAGUGGAGAGUAGGUGAUGCAGCUGAGCGUAAGUACAUGUGAACAAACAAGUAUGUACAUGUGUACAACACGGAGUGCGUACAUGUGUACAAGCGAUUAUAUGUACAACUUGGGACGUGUACAUAAAUGGUGUAUUUUGACAUGUUUGUUGGUUUUGAAGGAUGAAUACUUUUGGCAUGAUACUAUGAUAUUUUUAGAUUUUUUAGGUAUAUAAUGUAAAGUAGCAGGAUGACUGUUGAUUCUAACUAAAACUCUUCACAUUGAAAAUGUAUUUUUGUAGUGUACAUGUCAGCUAAAAUUGUACAAAGUAAUGGCUAAUGUAGGUAAAUUGUAAGAUCUCUCUUUAAUCAAAUACCAAAAAAUUUACUAUCAUGAUCAAUGAUUCACAUGUACACAAGUUCAUUUGUGCAAUGAUUUCUUUGUACACCAAUUAUUUUUCAUACAUUUGCAAGUUUAAGUAUUUGUAAGGUCUAUAGUGUCAACGUGUACACAUGUAUUUCGUUGUCCAUAUGUACAUCAGUUCAUCGUUACAUCUAUUCGAUUUUAAUAUGUAAUUGUGAGUUCGAAUGUUUGAAGGCCCAAUAUCAUCUAAUAUCAACUGAAAUCGUCUAGCAUAAAGUAAUUGAUUCAUAACUGCCAAAGGCAUAUGUAGUAGAGUACCCACACUGACCACGUUUUUAAGAGUAAUCUUCAGAUGUCAUGAUUUAUAAGUACGUCUUAUGAGUGUGAUGUCCAAAAGUAAUGGUUUCUAAUUUAUGAUGUAUCAUGUGUACGUAUCACGUGUACGCAUAUUCAGUUGUAUAGAUGUAUAAAAAUACAUGUACACUACAAGAAAACUUGCUUUUAGCCACAACUUAGCCACAAAACUUUUGUGGACAGUAUAAAACAGCUACAAAAUCUCCGCAAAAUUAGCCACUACUUACAAAAUCUAAAAUUUGUGGUCAUUUGUUGUUUUUUUGUUGCUCCAUAGCAGCAAAAUAACUUUUGUGGCUAUUCGAAGAAACACAGCCACAAUUAACUACAAAAAUAAAUUGUGGAUAUACAUUUCCACAAAAAUCCCCCACAAGAUUCAUGGCUUCCGUAUCCACAACUUUACUCGCGGAUAAUUGUUGUUAUAUAGCUACAAAAUGUACUUUGUGGCUAUCUCGAGGAUAAAAAGUCACAAUACGCUUCAGAAUAAAUUGUGGACAUAUAUUAUCCGUAAAUAUCCACAGAAUUUUUCGUUAACAUUUUAACCACAGACUUAAAUUGUAGCUAUCCGUAGAAAUAUAAUUUUUAAAAUUGCAUGUGGUCACAAAUGUGGUUGUGGUUAUAAUAUUUAAAAGAUUAUAAUGUUAAGAAAACAUAUCAGCAUGUUCAAAUCUGGUUCCAUAAUUAAUUACAUUAACUAUCUACGCUUGUACUAGGAUUUGUACGAUACAUUAAAUAUGUUAUACAUUUUUUACUUUUUUUAGGUUGCAGGGAGAACAUAUCUUUAUAUUACCAAAAAAAAAGAUAAGAAUUUUUUUUUUUUAAAAUGAAGAUACAAAGUGAAACAAUUUCACAUAUCACUAGGCAUUUCAAUUCUCGGUUUGCUUCAUGGUUUGGUUCUAAAGGUUCUAAAGGUUUAGGAUCUAUUAAAAUAUUGAGUUUGGUUUUGUUUUGUUUAUUUCGUUUUUUUUUUGUUUGGUUUGGGUAACCAAGUUGAAAUCCGUCUUAUUUCCAAAGUAAUUUAAGAUUCUAUCCGGUUUUGAUUUUUUUUGUUAAUUUGGGUUAAAAGUAAAAAAAAACAAUUUUUUGAGAUUAAUAUCAGAUAUUUUGGGGUUGCAGAUAAAAACUCGAAUAAUUCAGAUAAUUUUAAUUAUUUUGGAUCAAAAUUAUAUUAGUCAUUUAACUUUUUGGUUAUUUAACUUAUAAAUAAUUUUAAGUUAUUUUUAUUUUUAAAAUAAAUAUAAUUAGUAUAUAUAUAUAUAGAUAUAUUAUAUUAUAGAAAUUUGGGUACUUAUUUGGCUCUCGGUUUGGUUCGAAUUCAGUUUUUUUUUUUUGGUUCAAUAGAUAUAUAUGGUCCACUAAUAUAACUGUUGGGAUUCAAACUCGUACCGAACUUAUUUUCUGAUUUAGUUUAAUUUGGUUCUUUGGUUCCAGAUAAAUGUGUGAAAGACUAGUUGCAUCAAUUAUAAAAAAGCUCGGAAAAUAAUUAUUUUAAAUAUUUAAGAAGUAGCCAUAGACUAGCAUCAUAACUACAAAAGAUAUUAACUAGAUUUUGGGACCGAAAAAUAAAUGAUUCAUCGCAACACUAUUAAAGAGUAAACACAAAAAAUGAGUAAUGAAGAAUCAUAUAUUAUUGACAAAAAAAGAAGAAUCAUAUAUUAACAAGUCACAUGUUGUACAUUAAAUAUAAGUCAUAUAAUCAAUCUCUCAUAAGGUUGUAAGAUGCAUAUUUAUUGGUUCAGACAAAUAGUUGAUGGGGCAAAGAAUAUACUCUUUAACCACAAAUAUAGCUAUCUAAAGAAUAUCUAUAUUUGAUGGAGCAAAGAAUAUAUUUUCUUUAGCCUCAAAUAUAACUACGUAAAGAAUAUGUAUAUUUGAUGGGGAAAAGAAUAUAUCUCUAUAAUAUUAUUUGAGAAGUCAGUUUUCUACGUGUCAUGCUCACGUUAAUCUUUACAACGGUUAUUUACAGAGAUACCCUUAAUGAAUUAAAAUAUUGAAUUAAUAUAUUAUUAUUAAUUUUUUUGUUUAGUUUUCUUUUUAGUUUUUUCCAAAACAUAUAUAAAAAGAAAAAAAUUAUAAAGUUUAAAAACGAAUUUAAAAACAAAAAUAUAUGUAUAUAAAAUAUGAUUUCAUUAAAAAGGAAAGUUCCCAAAAUAGUAAUAUUCCGUUUAAAACAUAUUUUUACCGAACAAAAAUAUACUUAUAACCGAGAAAUAAAACUAAUUUGAUUUGAAUUAAUUAGAAUAAAAAAUAAUUUUACUUGAGUUUGAAUUUGACAGAAUUUAUUUAACUCGACUAAUCCAAUUUAUAUCCUAAAUCAAAGAUCUAACCACAAUUAAAAUAUAUAAUUUAUAAUAAUAAUAUAUUUAUUUUUAUACAUAUUUAUUGUAGGAUGACUCAAAAUAUAUUAAUAAAUAAAAAUAAAAUAUUAACUAAUUGUUACAAUAUAAUUAAAUAUAUAUAUGUAUGAGUCUUCAGAAUAUUAUCAUUAUAUUCAUUUAUGUAAUUUUCAAUACAAACUUCAUUUAUUUUUUACUUAAUUUUAAGAAAAAUAUAUAUUAUGUUAUACAUCAUCUUACUAAAAUAUAUUUACAUAUCUGGAAAAACAACCAAUCUAAAUGCAAAUAAGAAUUUAAUCAAAAUUUACUAUAUUUAGAAUAAAAUAUUAUAGUCCAGUUCGGAGAAAUAGAUGCAAUCCAACAUACCUAGGUGAUAAACAAAUCGAUUGUUUACCCAGAAACAACCAAACCGACUAAAUAAAACAUAUCCAAAAUCAUAUGUCUAGUUAAAAUAAUAUAAUAUUAUCAAAACAAAUUAUACAAAUAAAUUAUAAAUUUAGUUAAAGCCAAAAGUAAAUAUCAAUUAAUUAUAAUAUAUUAUCUUUAUAAAUAUUUAUAUCCGUGCAUGAUCACGGGAGAAUCACCUUGUAUAUAUAUACAUUAGAUGGAGCAAAGAAUAUAUUCUCUUUAGCCAUAAAUAAUUGAUGGGGUAAGGAAUAUUUGUAUUUGAAGCCUAAGAUGAUUAUAAAUUGUAAACAAGCUCGACAUCGUUUCAUAACACAAGAAACAAACUUUCUAAAAAAUGGGAGAUUUCUUUCAAUCAAGAGAAUGGAUGUAUAAAAGAUUAAAACGUUCUGAUCAUAGUUUGUGCGAGAAAUUUAUUGAGGGUGUAAACACUUUUAUUUCUUUUGCUUGUAAUCAAGCAUUUUUUCUUGAGUGUGGGAAGUUGUUUUGUCCUUGUAAAAAAUGCAAGAAUCAAAAAUAUCGCGAUGUUGAUACAGUGACGAAACAUCUUAUGUUGAAAGGAUUUACAGAAAAUUAUUACUUGUGGACGCAUCACGGAGAAAAUUGGCAAUACAAUGAUGGUGAAGCCUGUUCAUACGGCAAUUUCAAAACCUGUUCAUACAGCAAUUUCAGGUAUUCAAUAUUUGAAAUAAUUAUUAUUUUUUUUUGCCAAAAAGAUAUAAUACUCUUGCUGAAUAUUUUUAAUUAAUAUUCUUAUUUGUUCAAUUUGUGUAGAUAUCGCACUCUUCUUUCGAGAUAUAUCUGCCAAAAUCUUGAAGAUUGAAGAUGUUGCUAGACUGAAAGAAAAUAUUGCAAUUAUGCUUUGCAAUCUUGAAAAAAUAUUUCCACCGGCAUUCUUUGAUGUGAUAGAACAUCUACCUGUCCAUCUCCCAGAUGAAGCUUUACUAGGUGGUCCGGUCCAAUAUAGGUGGAUGUAUCCGUUUGAACGAUACAUGUAUCAUCUGAAAAAAAAGGUUAAAAACAAAGCCAGGAUCGGAGGAUCAAUAGUGGCUCAGUGUGUGAAUGAAGAAAUUUCUUACGUGACAAAUAAUUAUAUUGCACCUUCAACAGUUCAAGUCCCUGAAAAAGAUGUCAACGAAAUCAGAUUCACUUACAAAUAUCUUGAUGUUCCAAUAAUGUUCCAGCAAGAAGGAAGAAUCAGUGGAAAAUCAAGUAGUGCAUGGUUAAAUGAUGAAGAUUAUAAUAUUCUUCAGACAUUUUUAUUGCUCAACUGUGAAGUAUUUGAACCAUAUGAGAGGUAUGUUAUGUUAUUUAUAAUUAAUAAUGACGUAGAUGGUUAUGAAUAUAUAAUGGAUAUCUAGAAAACCAAUAAUAUAUAUGCAGGAUGUUUGAAGAUUAUAUGAUGGAUAACCACCCAAACAUAACUUCUAAAGAUAUGACAAGAGCAAAAGAUGAAAAAUUUGCAAUGUGGUGUAAAGAUUACGUAAGUGCGAAAGUUAUAUACAUGUUAUAACAUAUUAUAUACAUGUUUUUAUCUCAGCUAUUAAAUAAGAAAUAUAUGCAGAUUAACAAUGCUAGCAAAUCAUUUGAAUUUCCAUUGUGGAUGUUGGAAUUUGUACAAGGUCCAAAGCACCAAAUCACGUCAUGGCCUAUGUAUUAUUCGAGAGGAUAUCAUUACCACACACAAAGCCAUGGACAAAAUAAAAAGACAAUGAAUUUUCGUGUUUGUGUUCCUGGAACUACUGAGACCGAGUAUUUUGGACUUAUCGAAGAAAUAUUCAUGAUAGAGUAUCAUGGUGCCGUUGGGUUAAAAGCCAUGAUUUUUAAAUAUCAUUGGUUCAACAUCGAUCAAGGAAUACGAAGACAUCCAUCUGGCAUUGUUGAUGUUUGCCCACAAAUGCAUUAUGACAAGUACGAUCCUUUUAUAUUACCAGAACAAUGUGAUCAAGUAUGUUAUGUUCCUUAUCCUCGUCUACGAUCAAGAAGAGAAGAAUGGUGGACAACAAUAAAAGUUAUGCCGAGAGGAUUUUUUGAAACUAAAGAAGUUUCUGAUACGCCCAAAACAGGAAGAAUGGCUUUGGCCGGGUGUUUGAUAUGAACCGAGAAGGCGAUGGCACUUCUGGAACUGGAAUGGAAUGAAUGGAUCGUCAAGAGAUGCGGAAUGACUCUUGAUAUACCACGAUCUAAGGCUAACCACCUAAGAAACGAUGAAGGUGUGUUGGCUAACCACCAAACACACAAAAGAUGAUUGGCUGACCACCAAAUCAACAAGCCGGUUCAAACCGAUGAACUAGCUAAGAACUCUCUCUCUCACUCAGAGAAAAGAAGAAUCGAAAAUAAACAACCAAAAUGAACUGAUUUUAUUCAUCAAAGGGACUACAUAUUUAUACUACUUGUAGUCAAAGAGAAUUAAAGAGAAUUGUGGGAAAACAAGGCAUAGAAAAUAGAAACAUUGACUAGAAUAUUAUUAAUGAGUCAAAGACUCAGUCUUCCAUGCAGAUUAGUCAAAGAUGACCAUUCGGUUCACGUUCUGGUCAAGGAAACCCUUCGGCUACUGUCCAGGUUCAUCCGAACCAGAUGGAUGCACGGGGUAAAGAUAAGGACGCUUGCGGGACUGUCCGGAUGGUCCGCCAGAUAAGAAUGCAUGUCCGUCUUUGGUUUCUUCACGACCCAAGCUAAGUCUGGCUCGACCGUGGGUUUUAGAAUGCCGAGUUGGUCGGGGAAGACGGGCUGUGGUUCGGUCGGUUAGGUCGUCUGGACGUGGUUCCAGCCGAAGCUCCAAUCGAGACGUACGCGGGACGGCUCGGUCAGUCUGAUCGGUACGGUCGGAUGAACGAACCUCGGUCAAAUUGUUCAGAACGUCCUGAUCUCCAUCCUGGUUGGCUCCAAUGGACUGAUCCACGAACCAGGGCACAUCAGUUUCUCAAAAUGCAAUACAAAACAAUAUUGUUGAUCAUGUGAUACCAUCCACUAAUAUUGUGCGAGUCGAAGCACAUGCAGUCCAAGAUGAUUCAAUUUACGAACCGAUGCCAAUGAUUAAUCCAGAAGAUGAAUAUUUAUCUGAAAAUGAUUUUAUCGAUCAGUAUGACGAAUAUUCUGAUUCAGAUUCGCAUUCGGACUAAUAAUAUUGUAUGAAUAAAUGGUUAAAAAAUAAUGUAUGUGUUAUAAAACAAAUAAGAAGAUAAAUAAUAAUUUGUAAUGUAUUUAAUAUUGUAUGAAUAAAUGGUUAAGAAAAUAAUGUAUGUGUUCUAAAACAAAUAAAAAAACAAAUAAUAAUUUGUCAUGUAUUUAACUUAAUUCCUUUGUUUUAAUAUUGUUUUUAAUUUAUCUUUGAAUGCUAAACUUUAUCAAAAUUCCUAUUUAAUUAUUAAUAGUAUUAUUGUAAAAUACUAACCACAAAAUUCUUAAGUGGCGGGAGUAAUUUCCCGGGUAUAUAACUCCCGUAGAAACAAAUAGCGACAAGUAGAUUGGUAACAAUCUAAAAAUUAGAAAGUAAUCACGAAAUUUUUCACUUCCCGGGUUGUUUUCCCGGCUAAACCAAUAUCAGCCACUUGAUUUAUUAAUUGAAAAAAAGGAAGCUAAUCUACUUGUUUGCUCCGCCUACAAAUAUUACGUAUCUAUCUUGUCCUCUUCUCACAGUCAAUCUCUAUCCUUUCUCACAGUCAAUUUAAAAAAAAAAAAAAAGAAGCUAACCCUCAGUAUCCUUUCUCUCUUCCUUACGUUCCUCUGUUUAAGGUCAGAAAUCUCUUAUUUGUUUCCCUUUUAGAUUCGUAUAUUGAAAUCUGAGGGGUCAAUCUUCUGGGUUUUUAAUUUUCAUGUUCUGUUUCGUUUUAGGGUUGGGGUCAAUGUACAACCCAUAUUUGUAAUGUUCAAGUAUUUGUAAUGUUUUUUUGUUCUUUUGCAGAUGAAUAUCCUACGUGGUUCUUCUUCAGGGCCAGCUAAGAGGAGCCGUCAAACUUGUCUUCCUCCUGGAUUGAACAGGCCUGCUACGUCCGCUUCUCUUCCUCCUGGAGCGACCAGGCCGGCUUCGUCUGCGUCUCGACAUCCACUUCCAAGCUUAGCUGCUGUGAGGAGUGCACCAGAGAGACGUAACAUGCCUCUUCUCCAUCCACAAAGGCCCAAUGGAACUUUAUGGUGAGUUCAGUGUUUCAGUUAUUUGUUUGUCGUUUUAGUGUUUGAGUUAUUUUUAAAGUUCUGUCUUUUGAGUUAUUAGUUCAGACAGGAACUAAAGGAUAAAGAUGAUUUGUUGACUUGAUAACGUCUGUUUAAAACGACUGUAUUUUUAAUUAUGUGUUUGAGUGUUUAAUUUAUUUGUUAAGUUUUGUAUUUGAGCUAUGGUUCAGACAGUGGUCUUGUACUAGGUCUAAGGGCUAUUGUAAUGCUUUGAGUUUACAUUGGUCUUUGUCUCAUCUAACAAAAUGUUUUGGUGCUUUUUUUUCAUAGGUUUGGGAUAGACGAUUGCAUCCGGAAAGAUGUAGUGUCAACAUAUCAGUCAAACUUUUGGGGACCAUGGUGGACCUACAGAAUGGUGCCAGAUGAGAAGAAGGUCGCUUGGUGGACUAGUUUUCUGGUAGCUUCUCUAGAUUUACUUUGUUUAUUGGUUGAUAUAGUUGUAUAAGCUCUCACCUUAUUCUAAUUAACUAUGUUUUUGUUGUAGCAACAAUACUAUUGGGAUCCUAAGCAUCACAGUCAAGUUCGUUUUCAGUGGGAACAAAUUCUGAAAAGCUCAAUCAGAGACCUUGUAAGCAAGAGGAGGAGACCAGAAGAAAAAAAGAAGCCAGAUUUUAUUGGCCUAGCAGAUUGGAACUUGAUGCUAGAGACUUGGCAGGAGGAGCCACACCAAAAGAGGAGCAAAACGAAUUCUGAGAAUGCUUCCUCAAACCCAGAUGGUUUAGGCACUCACCGUCAUACUUCAGGAUCAAAAAACCACAAGCGUUAUGCUUAUGACUUGGUUAGUCAAUUUUUAUAUUCCAUCAGCUUUAUCUUCUGUAACUUACAUAAAUUUUUUAACACCAUUUGCAGACUGUUAAGGCUGGUGGAGUAGCACCUCCAGUCACUGAAGUAGUGCGUAUGACCCAUACUCGCAAGGAUGGCACUUUCAUUGACAAAAGAGCAGAAGGUUUUGUGAAGGCUGCCGAGGCUCUUGCAUUGGAGCGAUCACAAGGUUCCUGUCUGACUGAUGAAACCCCAUCAGCACCCUCUACCCAGCAGCUCAACGCUGCUUACAUUGAAGUAAGAAUCUCCUAAUCUAACUUACAUAAUCUAUUUUAAUAGCAGAAUGAAUUUAGUUUUGCAUAAUGAAUUGAUCGACACUGUUUUGUUUGUCUAUAUCCAUGAGUCUUUUCAAUUUUUUUUUCUUGUAGGUGGCAACCAAUGGCAAAGGGCGAGUUUAUGGGCUUGGUUCAAUUCAGGAUAUUGAUGAUGAACCAAGUGAGAAUGCACCAGCAUCUUUAUUUACACAUGUGGCAGUUGAUGGACGCUUGACCACCAUGGAGGGUGUUGUAACUUGCUUGAAGGAUGAUGUUUCUGGCUUGAAGGAGGAUGUAAUUGGUAUUAAGCGAGGCAUUGAGGUUCUGAUGAAGAUGAAUGGAGUGGACCCUGUUACCUUUGAACCUAUUCAGCGUGAGAGCGAUGCAUCUGUUCGAACUCCCCAAUCAAGCCAAGAACUUGAACAAAAUUCUCCCGUACAUUAACUCUGAUCUUGGUGUCUUUUGUGUUUAUACUAAGUUAAGCUCUAACAUCACUAGAUGUCUUUUGUAAAAACAUCACUAGAUGUCUUUUGUAACUUCUGAAGAACAUCAUUAGAUGUCUUUUGUAAAAAAAUUUUAUAAUUUUAAUGGUAUUUGAAUGUUUAAAUUAAUUAUUAUGUUGUUUAAUGCUUUAAAUUUGAUUUCAAACUAUUAAUCAGUACAGUUUAAAAAAUAAAUCAAAAUAAAUAAUAAAGCCACAGAAAAGCACAUAUAAAUUUGUGGCAAUUUUUAAAAUAAAACCACAGAUUUCCACAUAAUAAGUUGUAGUUAUACAAGCCACAAAUACAAAUAAUUGUGGUUAUUUUGUGUCUAAAUUUCCACAAAACGUUUUGUUGUUAUCAGUAGAAAUAAAGCCACGAUUUUAAGUGGCACGAGUUGUGGCUAAUAAAACCACAAAAAAAUUGUGGCUAUUUGCGUAUUACAUCCACGAUUAGUUUUGUGGCUGUUUGUAGAAUAUUCUCUACGGUUUAAAAUGUGGCUUUUUGUAGCAAAAAUUGCAACGAAUCCGAGUUAGCGCUAUUUGUGGCUAUUGUCCACAAAAACCGUUUGUGGCUAAGUCGUAGAAGCACAGCACCAAAUAACAACGCUUAUUCGAUUGCCACAAGCCCGUAGUCAACGAAAUUUUUUUGUAGCGAUUUGUGGCUAAGCGUUAAAUAGCCACAAAUAUUAAGCGAUAGCCACAACAUUUUUCAUGGCUAAUUACAGAAUUUCUUGUAGUGGUACACAAACACAUGUACAAAAAAAUAUGUGUACAUAUGGAUGUUGAUUGUACACAUGGAUAGCAUGAAUUAUGUGUACAUGUGGACAUCGAAAAUUAUAUUACGCGUAGAUACUAUUUUGAUUGUACAAUAUCAAUCAACUCUUUACUUCUCAGCUACUGGGGCCUUGCAUAGGAUGUCCUCAUCAACAUUGGACGGUAAGCUCUCUUAUGCCAUUCAGACACACUCUAACAUCUCUCUAAUGCGAGACUCUACAUCAACAUAGUAACAUAUCAAAAACUCCAUUGUAGCAGUCAUUUUGGAGCUAAAGGUACAAACUUUGGGAUUAAAAGGAAGUACCUUGAGCACGGUAUUCAUAACCUUUUCCACGGAAGUUGUUGGCGACGAUGGUUGCAGCAUGAGACUUGGUUUGAGAAUCAGUGGUGAGGUUGUAUAGAUGAGUGAUUCUUCGAUGAGUGUAGUAGAAAUUGGAGACUUUUUGUCAGCGGAUUCGAACUGUGUAGUGACCCAAAUUUUCAAUUCUGAAAUUUGGGAGAUGCAAUCUGAAGAAAAAAAAUAAACAAGAACAAGGGAGAUGAUGAUUUUGCUUAAUACAAUGGUAAUAAUCUUGGUCGUAGAUGAUGAAAGAACCUGAGUUAAUAUAAUGGCUAGGAAUAUUGGUAGAUAUAAGUCUAAUCAAGAUCUGGAAAAAUAGAUCUUGACCGUCGAAAUUGGAGACAGAUCAAUGGUUGUGGUGAAAGCCCGCCACUUAUCUAUUUUAUAAGUAAACUAGGCUUUUAUGAUUGAAUUAAGAGAUAACUAAUUUAGUUAAGAAUGAAAAGAAUAGUUAUAGAAAGUGUGUGAGUAGAAAAAUGUGUCUUAUUGUGUAAUAAAUAAGAAGGAAUGUGUCCUAGAGUGAAAAUAUUUCAAAUAAAAUACGGGUUUAGUCAAAUAAAGUAAUUACUGUUCUUUUAUGUGUAAAGCUUUGUCAAUGUCUUUUGAAUAACUAGGAGUACUAGUUCGUUUUCCGCGCUACGCGCGGAUAAUUUACUUUUAAAGUUAACAAUUUUACAAUUUUUUAACCCCUAACAUAUACUCUAUUUGUUCCAAAAAUAUAGACUUUUUAAUAUUUUCACACAUAUUAAGAAAACACAUCAAACUACCAUAAUAAAUGUAUUGUUUUAUGUAAUUUUCAAUUUUCAAGUCAAUUAAUUUUCUUGAAGUUUACAAUUUUUUCAUAGAAAACACAAAAAAUACAUCUUUGUGAAACAAAUUUUUUUUUCUAAAAAGUCUAUCUUAAUGGAACGGAUGGAGUAGUAUAAAAGGAGGGGGGGGGGGGGGGGGGGAUGACAUGGGCUGAUUUUGGUUGUUUAAAUGUUGCAUUUUAUUUUAUUUUUGUUCUGGGGGGGGGGGAGGGGGGGGAUGACAUGGGCUGAUUUUGGUUGUUUAAAUGUUGCAUUUUAUUUUAUUUUUGUUCUUCUAAAUUGUAUUUUAUAAGUUUUUAAAAUAUUAAGACUAAGUUUAGAAUACAAAAACUGUUUGAAAGACAGAUCGAAAAAGUUGCUUUUAGUUGGGUUUUCUUGAAGAUCAUCCUAUGAAUUGUAUAGGUUUUAUUUGUUUUUUCUCAAAUUCAUACAUUAAACUUGAAUUUUAUCUUGCCUUAGAUGCUUUUGAUGAUUUUUAUUAUGUUGUCAAAGUAAAACUGUGUCGCUAGCGAUGAAAUGAGCAUUAGCUUCCCUGUAAAUAAGAGAUAUUAAUCAUAAUGUAUUACAUUUUGGGUUCUUGUUUUGACAGUUAUUUAUUGAACAUGUAAUCUUUUCCACCACAAUAAUUUUAUAUUUUUCAUUAUUUAUGCUUUUUAGCUAUGUGAACAUAGAUGCUUAGUUGUUGUGAAAGCUUUACAAUCGUUGGUGUAUAUUAUAAGUUUUAUAUAAGAUGGAGGGUAUGUUAGAAAUGUAAAAAUUAUAUUUCAUAUAUACAUGUUUUAACUAAUUAUAUAAAAUUAUGGAAAGUAUAUAUAUAAUCUUUCAUCAAUUACUUUUUACCAAUUAGGAAUUUAUAAAUUAUACAAUUUGUUUUAAAAGAAUAAGUUGUGGCAACAAAUAUAACGACUUUACAUUUUAUAUAAAGCAUUAUCAUAAUAUACUAAUUUUAAUAAAAUUCAUACUUAAUAUAACUAUAAUAUUAUUUAUAAUUUUUUAUAAAUUCAAUAUUAAGAUUUAUAAAGUCAUUUAUAAGAAUUUUAUAAGAUUUACAAAUUGUUAUAAGAGUCUAUAUAUCAUUUAUUAAAAGUAUACAAAAUCAUUUAUAAGAAUUUUAAAAUUAUUUAUAAAAAUUUAACAAAUCAUUUAUAACAAUGUCUGCAUAGACUUAUAAUCAAAUAAAUAUACGUUUUAUAAGAAGUUAUAAAUCUACAAACAUGUAAUCUCUUCGUUUCAUUUUAAUUGUGGAGGCUUAUGUACACCGAAUAAGAAAAUAUUUAAUUUUGCAUAUUUUUAAAAUAAAAAACACCAUUAUUUAUACACCUAACCAUAUUUUAACCAAUAUAAAAAUAAUCUGGAGAAUAUUAUUAAUAAAUUUUGCUUUAAAUUCUAAAGCAACACUUAUUUUGAAACGAAAAUUUUACUCUACAACAAAAAUUAAACUGAAACGGAGGAAGUAUUAUUACACAUGACUUGAUAUUUUAUGUAAAAUUUAUUAAAGGUUUCAAAUAAAAUAAUUUUAGAUUUAUAAACACUUACGCUCAUAGAAAACGGAACAAAGUUAACAUGCAAUGUUUAAUAGAAUGUUAAAAGCUACUAAAUAAAAAAAAAAGAAUAUUUCUACUUUUAUGUUCGGACAAAAUAUCAUAAAGAAGUAAAAUAUGAAAGAUGCGGAGAAAACUUCAAAGUUUUACUGCAAAUGGUGGUUCAGUUUUGAUAAACCUGACCUGGUAUUCUUUUACGUUACAAACCGUGUAUUAUUUUACCCAACCUCACAUGCAGUAAAAACUAAAAUGAAUAAGUCUUCGGUAACUUGUUCAUAUUCAAAGAUUUAUUUCUUAUUAAUUCACAACACAAAAAAAAAAAAAUUAAAAAAAUACAUAUUAUAUAUUCUUCAGGUCACCAGGAGACAUAAUUUACAUAGGAUAUAAAAUGUUUCAGAUCAAGAAACAAAAAACUUGGUAGUGGCUUUUGCUCAUAGAUUAAACUGUGUCUCAUUCCUUCAAAGAGAACAUCGCUUCCUAGACUGAUAUAUAUAUAUAUAUAUGUUUUCUUUUACAUUCGUAGAGUGAGAAGAAUACUGAACCAAUUUUACGGGUAGUUCAAUCACAAUAAUUAGGAGACGUAUGCCACUUUACUCCCUUUGUUUAUGAUUUUUCAGAAGGAAGUAAUCGCUGGUUGGCUUCUUAGGUAUCUUCUUUAGUAAGUCCCAUUGGUUUAUUUUUAGAUACACAACCUCUUUGUCUGCUGCAUUUAUAAGAUGCUGCUCUGAUCUUUCUUCAUCAUCUACACUGAAUAUGGCUCAUGAAAAACGUACUUAAUUAGGACUUAGGAGCCUACCAAAGAAUUAAAGGCGUCUGAGAAGAGCUAGCAAUGAUGAAACUGUAAAAGUGAGUAGGACAAUGAAGCAUAACCUGUUUGCAAACUAAGUAGUGAAGCUCAUAUGGGGAAAUACCACCUUGCCUCGGCUUAGUGAAUACAUCAUUGCAUGACCUCAUGAGGUGUGGAAGGUUGCAGUCUCUACUAACUCUGAAAAUAGGAAAACAAAUUUCUAAAUGAUAAAACAAUCUUCCAAGUGUAUGAAAACAUAAAUUGAUUAAAUCUUUUUAUUUUUGUGACACGGAUGUCAAGUGUAGUUAGCUAGCCUAUGAUGGGUUUUGGCAACGCCUAUCAUGUUAAGAAAGUGGCUGAAGGCACGAGCCAGUGUCAGUGCUUCCUCUAGCAACAUGUUUGAUAUUUCAAAAGUGUAGUUGCGUCUCCAAAAGCUCCGUCGUGUCUUCAAUACUAGCCAGACAAAUAUUUAACGCACUCUGAAAGGUAACGCCAAACAAAAAAUAGUAUCAUCACAAGGAUUUUUACUCUUUAUAUUAUAUAUAUGCAGUGAAAACACUUGGUUGUAAGAUUCCACAAUCCAGUCUCCAGCUAUGAAAUAGUAAUACACAAACGCAUAAUUCCAUACUCUACAGCUAAAACAAAUCCAUCCAAAAAUCUAUCAAACAAACAGUUUUCUUCUAGCCUUCUUAUUCCUAAACAAUUAUUGCUAGUAUAAAACAAUCACAAACAUGCUAUACUUUAGGGUGAUCAUGUAUUUUCCUGCAAACGCAAGCAAUUAGAGAAAGACUACUAUAUGUUUUCAUUUCCUUUUAGAACAUACUGAUCACAGACUAAACAUUUCAUUUUCCCCAUUAUUAAUUCUACCGAAGGAUUAGAGGAGAAAGUUACGGCUUUUCGAACAAAAGACAACAUAAAAUCACAUAGAACAUCAAGUAGGCCUGCAAUUUAGCAAAAAAUAUUGUAAGGACUGUUGUGAGAUAAGCUUAACUUCUUUGUUGGAUCGUGGCCUUUCUGUUGAAUUUUUUUAAUUAAAAUAAUUUUAUCACUAUAAAUUAUAUGCAAAUCAAAGAACAUUAAUACUAUAUGUGCUUUUGAAUUACUCCAUCUCAGUCUUAAAAAUCUUAAACAUGAGAUAAUCAUGUGGACACAUUGAUACCAAACAUUGGCUGUCUUAACAAAAACUACACAUCAUGGAUGGGACAAUGUGCUUACCUCUUUGGUUAAUUGAGAUGGAGAAUAGCACCAUCUGAAGGAUAUACAAUAUUACAUUGGUGAGGCUACAAUCGUAAGCUAAUUAAUAGUAUCAAAAUCAUUAAAAUCUGUAGAAUCCAAUUUAAAAUUCUGCUCCAAAAACAAUACCUCAGAAGAUUCCCAUAUUCUAUUAUUGCGGUUCACCCUGUGGAGCAAUUUUUUUUGGUGAUUCUCCUUGUUCUGUGAAAAACAUCAAAAGAAACUAAUCAUCAGUAUUUGCAUAUCUCAAUAGAUCAUGAUCAUCAUCAUAAUCACCUAGAACAAAUUCCAAAUAUGAUCCAAUCCGGAGAUGAAAACGCAAAAUAUUACCUUUGAGCAGACCAUCUUCGAAAGAGAUUUAAUGUUCCAACCCAAAGAUUAGGAAUUUAAGCUGUGUAAUGGAAGAGAUCAGAUCGUCAGAACGCAAUCGAGAGAUCUUUGCUAAUUUUCAAUGGAAUCGAUGAAACUCUUGAGUUCCCGAUAAACAGGAGUAUCAAAGGAAUGCUUCCAAGCAGAGUCCUUCACUGGUAGAGACACCACCCAAUAGCUCGAAGUCACUAAUUUUCUAUCUCUUUGGUGGAGACCAUCUUCUUCUCCGAUGUAUAACUCCUUCAAUCAAAAGAGACAACCGACUACUGAGAGAGAGGGGAUGUGGAAGAGUUAACUGUUUGCGUUUUAGAUCUAGAUUUCGAAACAGACAAAAAAAAGAAUGAGGGUUGAUCUUCGACUGUGGAGGAUGUAGAUUUUGGUAAAUUGCUUAACCAACAAAGAAUUUAUAUAGGUGUAAAACAAAUGAGAAGUGGAAGGGUACAUCUGACAUAAAUGAAGGAGUUAAGAACAUGGAUCAAUCAUUCAGAGUGGGUGUUGGUUAUUGCAAAGUAGCUGAGAGCUGAGGAGAGUGGAAACGAUCGUGAUGGAGAAGAAGAGUCGGAGCCGAAGGAGAGAGGUAGGUUUGAUAUGGGCCAUAACCAAAACUGUAGAGCCCAUAUAAUUCGACCCAAUUGCUAGUGUCGAGUAAUGACAUGACAUAAUAGAUGCAUAUGAUUGGCUGAUUUUUAAUGCCGACGUGGACCUUCUCUUUGUUGAGCUUAUUCUCCUUUUAUUAUUGUUAGAUUGUUGUUUCUUUUGAGUAAUGGAGUUAACUCCCCGAGCCGUCUCUUUCUGUAUCUCCAGGCAACUUGAAUCUGCGUAGCUGCUCGUACCCUGCAAUAAGGAAGGAAACUCAUGCCUUAUGGCUCCUUCGUGUAGAAUUUCGAGAACAAGAUCGUUAAGGUCUGCUAGACUCAGCAAUAACCAAAAAAGCUAGGGCAUAACGGAAAAAAUCAAGUUUCCCGGAAGUUGAAGAAGAGGCGUUUGCCAGUUGAGAAGAAAGAAGGAAGGGGACUACGAGUCUAUGACUGAGUCAAUGUCUUCUCUCCUCAUCAUGCAAGUUGUAGUCCAUAAUUAAAAUUUUGUGAAGCCAAGACACGUGACCACGUCUGCAACAAUUUUUUUGUUCUUUCAUUGUCGUCAAGGUCCUUUUUUGGUAGUAUAUAAGAAACGGUAAUAUCACUAACUUCAGUUUCUUCUAAUCUGGGGAAAUUAGAACGUUAUUACAACUAAUUAACGUUGAAAAAAAACUAAUUAACGUUUUCGCUACAAUCGUCCAGACGUGGUUGCUGCGUGCUUCAUAAUAAAGUAAAGAUCGUGGAAAGUUUCGAAUAUUCAGAGAAUAAAAAAAGGACUACUUCCCCAAAGUCAAGAUCAAGAAAUCGAACCUUCCGAGAAACUCAACAUCUUUCACGUGUCAGCAUGCCAUUUGUUAUCUGACAUAACACUUAUCAACAUUGUCAUACUAAUUCCCUAUUAUACCCCUAAAUCUUGUAAUUGUUAGUAUGUUACUGAGUCAACAAACUUCUUAUUUACCUCUCGUAAAGGGUAAAGUCGUACUUCAAUUAUUUCCUUCCAUACGCGUAAUGUACUCGGUUAGGCGCGUGCACUUCCUACAUGCGCUACUCUCAUCACCUCUAUAAACCCAAAGAAAAAAAAAAAAAUCAAAACCAAACUUCACAUCUUCUUCUUCUUCUUCUUCUUCUUCACUUUACCAAAUAGCAUCUCUGUUUAAAAAAGAAAUCGCAUCAAUGAAUCAGAAUAUUAAAGAACUAUCACUGGAUUCCUUACCAGUGGGAUUGAGAUUCCGUCCAACGGACGAGGAGCUAGUCCGUUACUAUCUCCGCAGGAAAAUAAACGGUCACGAUGACGACGUCAAAGCCAUUCGAGAGAUCGAUAUCUGCAAAUGCGAACCUUGGGAUCUACCUGGUACACCUAACUUUCUUCUUCUUCUUGAAUUGAUUCAAAUUUUAGUAGUGUGUGGACGAAAUCAAAGCUUUUGGUGUUGUAGAUUUUUCAGCGAUCAAAACAAAAGAUUCAGAGUGGCUCUUCUUCUGCCCAUUGGACCGGAAGUACCCUAACGGAAGUAGACAGAACCGGUCAACGAUCGCAGGCCAUUGGAAGGCCACAGGAAAAGACCGGAAGAUCAAAUCCGGCAAGAACAACGUUAUCGGCCUGAAGAGAACCCUGGUUUUCCACUCUGGUCGUGCUCCUAAGGGAACGCGAACGAACUGGGUUAUGCACGAGUAUCGCGCCACCGAGCAGGACCUGAGUGGCACCAGCCCUGGACAGGUAAUUAAAUGUAGAGGUGUAAUAAGUAACCUGUGAUAAACCAAACUGGUUAUGUUAGUGACUUAAUGAUGUGUUGGUUUUGAUAAAUGCAGAAUCCGUUUGUUAUAUGCAAAUUAUUCAAGAAACAAGACCCGAGUUUAGUGGAUGAAGCUGCCUCGUCUCCAACAUCUUCCCCAGAUGAGACUAAAGCGGUCGCUAAAGCACAAGGGGUGAAGCCUGAGUCUUCUCUUGUGAUCUCGGGUGAUUCUCAUAAUGGUGCUUGCAGAGAGGCUACAACCUCCAAGGUGAGAGAGAUCACUGCAUAGUUUUCUUCUUAACUCAUCGUCAUUGCUUCGGUUUUGUAAACUAAACGACAUUUUUAUUUUGAUGUGUCACAGCUUGGAGAUCUUGAUUGGCUGUCUUUUCCAGAGCUGGAGUCCCUGACAGUGUUCUCUCCAUUACACGAGCUUGGAUCCUCCUCUUUCAACGCAUUUCUUCAGCCUAGCUCUAGUGACUUCUCUGGGAACCAUGACAACACCUUCCGGAUUCAGACUCAGUACCGUACAAACGAAGAAAUACAGAUGUAUCCCGCUUUCUCAAUUCGGUUCUUGAUUUCCAAGACGAUUUAGAGGAUCAAGACUUUGUUUUCCCGUCUGAGUUCGACGGUGCAGUGCCAGAUCAGGUUCGAAACUCAUAACUUCAUUUUGUGUUGUUCAUUAAGAAAACAGUAUCUCUAACUAACUCUUAUUAAUAUAUAUAUAUAUAUAUAUAUAUAUAUAUAUAUAAUUCGUUGCAGACUGUACCAGCGUAUCAGCAACAGCGCUCGGCAGGUGACAUGAGCGAUGAUGUUUCAAGAACUGGUAUCAAGUUACAGCCUCGGCGCUCAGGUUGUUCCACUGACUAUAUAAUCCAUGGAAAUGCCGCAAGAAGGCUACGUCUGCAAAUUAUCAAGAGAGAAGAGGUGAGAACAACAACCAUUUUCACAUGAAUUAAUACUCUGAGAAUAGUACGGUAACAAAUGAAUGGUACUACACAGGUUGAGGAUACGGACGGGGAAGCUUUAAAGAAGGGGAAGCUAAUGAGAUCAAAGAACAGAACAGGAUUCUUGUAUAAGAAGAUUAUGUCCGUGAGAUGUUCAUACGGAGGACUUUUUAGGGCGGCCGUUGUUGCGGUCCUGUUCUUGAUAUCAGUCUGCAGUCUAACCACAGACUUCAGAGCUUCGGUGUUGAUCUGAAAACUGGAAAACCUUGUUGUGUAUAUACUAUAUAGUGGUUCCUUUUUUCUUUGUUGCAUGUUGUUGUUGUUGGUUUCGGUUUUCUCCUUAUCCGGGGCCAGUUUAUGAGGGUAACUUGCGUAUACUGUAUAAUGUAAUGGCUACUUCUCGACUUUGUAUCAGCAGUAUUCUUAAAUAUUUAAGGAUUUUGUUUUUAACAAGUCUAUUUUUUUUUCAUUUUGACAUGCAUCUGUGGAAUUUCACAGAUACUUCAAACUUUAUUAAUAUAACUAGUUUGGAUGUGCUUUGUGUUCUUCUGAAACUCUCUAUGUUUUGAUGGGGAAAUAAACUGCUUGCCCUUUACUAUCUACACAGCUCAGCUACUUGGCUUUUCUUCUGGUUAUGUAUUUUGAUAUUCUAUACGAAAUUGGUUUGGCGUUUGAUUUACAUGUGAGACAAAAGAAAGUAUGUGUUUUCGUGGACUAUGUGCAGUGAUCAAAAUUUUAAAUUUAAUUAUAUUUAAAAAUAGAAAUUUAUUAUUAUUGUAGAUUUUCUUAUUUUUAACUAAUAUUUUAAUACAUAUUUUGAUUUAAUUGAAGAUUAAAUUAAGAUAAUUAAAUUAUAUUUAAGAUUAUAAUCUUAGAAAGACUUUUUUUAUUUAUUUCUUUUGGAAAAAAUAUAUAAAAUCAACUUGUAUAAAAUUAAUAAAAAAUUGAUAUAAAAGUUUUAUAAUUAUCAAAAAGUAAAACUAAACAGUAGUUCUAAAAUUUGUAGAUAUAUUACGAUUAAAAUUUAUAAUUUAGAAAACUGUAAAAAAAAUUGAAAAUCUUUUUAGUAAUAAAUUGUGUAAUUAUAAAUAAUAAUAUUUCGAAAUUUGUAAAUUAUUAUUAUAUUAUCUAAUGUCUUAUUUGAAUAGAUAUAAUUUAACGAUGAUAUAUAAUUUAUUACAAUAUUCUACAAAGAUUAUCAAAAUUUUAAUUAAUCAUUAAAUGUAGUUGUCCAUGUCACAUUUAAUCAUAAGUCAUUUCAUCAAUUCUAGCAUGUCAUGUCGCAUUUAUUUAGUGAAAUUGAUUGUAAAGAUAACAUGUGUCAAAAUUACUUUGUAAAAAAAUGUCUAAGGGAUGAAGAUGUGAAUAUGUUUUUUUUUUUCAUUUUUUCAUACAUUUGGGUUGAUUAAGGAAAAAUAUUCUAAUGAAGAUCUUUUUUUUUACAACAAUAAACUACUAUAAAAGGAAACAUGUCUAUCAAUUUAUACUAUUAUUUGCGAAGUUAUUUUCUUGCAGUAGAUCUCACACAUUAAAAGUUAGAGCGUUUAAAGUCAAUGAUACCUUUAAUAAAUUUUAUGUAUAAUUUAUUACAUAAUUUUUAUUAAAGAGUAAAUAUAUUUUUAAAUAAGUUUUUAUUGAAGAGUGCUCACAAAAAAAAAAGUUUUAUUAAAGAGUAAAUAUAUUUUUAUAUUUCUAGAGUUAACUAAACCUACACUUUAAGUUUAGAGUUAAUGGAUGGGUUUUGAGAAUGCAUUUUAAAAAUUUUAAAAAUAUAUAAUAAAUAUUUAAAUUUAAUUUGUUUUUCAAAUAGUUUCAAAAGGCAUUUUCGAAAUUCAAAAAGAAAUUUUUAAAUUUUUUUUUUGCAAAAAUCUAAAAAAUCUAAAAAAUCGAAUUUGAAAACAUAUAAUCUGAAAUUCUAAUUUUUUUUAUUUUUAAAUUACUUUAUUAUAUAUAUAUAUAUAUAUAUAUAUAUAAAGUGAGAGGUAUAAUGAUUUUUUACCUCUUUAGUAAAAUCUAUUUUGAUCAUUUUUCUUUUUUAGAGUUUUUUUUUUUUUGUGACAAAAAUUUGGAAAAAAAAGUUAUUUGAGAGAUUUUCUCUAAUUCUUAUGUAUUGAGUUGUUAUCUGGAAAUAAUAUUUUUCUAUUAUAAAAGUAAAACAAUCAAGAUAUAAAACAUCUUUUAAAUUAAAUUAAUUAAGAUAAUUACAUGGUUUCACUGGGCCAUAAAACGGCCCACUAAGAAACUUACAAUGUUUACUAACUAAGUACGAUAUCCACGGCACUUAGCUGCAGAGACGCUUUUUUCUUCUAUCACACCAGACGCUUCUGGGGGGGAGAGAAAAAGGAUGGCAGAUGGCUACGGCUACGGCUACGGCGGUUUCUCUGGAGUACCGUACCCGAUCUUUCUUACUUCUCCGUCUCCUCAUCCUCCAACUUCUGCGCCGCCGAUCCAACCUUUUGAGUCCUCCUAUGAUCCAACCCAAGGAGGGUUUGAUCCGAUGAUUUCUCAUGGCUCUUAUCACCGAUCGCCGGCUGAUUGGUCCAAUUAUCCAUCGUAUGGUGAUAAAUCUCGCUCUCAGACGCCUUCUUCAUCCUUUGGUAUAUAUCUUAAUCCCCUUUUGAAAUCAUAUUUGGGGGUUUAACUGUUUAGUGUUUAAAUGUUACUGUGAUAGGUUUCGAGGAGAGAGAUCUAAUGUUUGCUAUUUAAUUUGAUGUUAUCGGCUUUAGAAUUUUCACCCGCCAUGUUUGUUUUUGAUUCAGUACAUGCUAAUGUUUCGUCUCACUCUGCUCUGGUUAAUUAUGAUAUGACAAUGAUCUUGGAUUACAGAAAAAGAUGAUGAGUUUAUUGUGUAUUGGAUCAUUGGUUCUUCGUGAAACACAUUGAUCUUUUUUUUUCGUUAAUGUUGACCUGAAUGUUUUAGUUCUUUGUUCGAAGAUUUAACGCAGUACGGAUUUGUGUUCUUGCAGGAAACCUUGGUCCCAGGGCUGAAGAUUCUCAUAAAGACUUGUUCUCGCCGAGUGGAUUUAACCCUUCAAGGGGAUCACCAUCUGAUGCUGUUCCAUUUCCCACUGAUAAUCAACGCUAUGAGUGGGUGCCUUAUACCUCAGCUUCUUUAGCAGAUAUGCUUAUCAGAAAUUCCCAGGAACCGUUCUAUAAGCCUAUUCCCCCUUCUGGUGUUAAUGCUUCUAGCAAUGCUUUUGUUGAUAAACGUCCUGGAUAUUACCAUCAUGGCUAUGAUAAACCUGAGAGUAUGAAUACUCCCCCUGGUCUUUCCAUGGAGCCUUGCGUACCUGUUCCGUCGUUACCAGUGUCUAGCAUGAAAACGGAAGCUCUCUUUGAUGGAAGUCAGACUGGAAUUCGUGUAGGAGAUGGGAGAUCAUUCUUCGGUGAUGCGCCUGAGAAUAUUCAGUCCAGCUUGCACGGUUCUUCUGUUGAACCGGUGAAUUUCGACGUGUUGCUUGGAUAUGGUGAAGCCACUGGUCAUGUCAAGCCUUUGUCCGAUAAGACUGUUGGCUCGCCUAGUUCAAGGAGUCUCCGUUCUUCCAACCCUCUACAUUUCAAUGUCGAGUCCUCGGGUUCACUGUUCAAGGAAAAACGAGAAGGUAGUGGUGUCUCCUCCCUUUAUCAGAUGCCGAAUACUUUUGUCGCUGACAUUGAGAAUGGUAUUUCUGAGAGCUCUUUGAAGAAUGCGAUUGAUGAUUUGUAUUGCAAAGAGCAUAGAUCCUGGAGCCACUUCAGGGUAUCUUCUGAGGGACCUUCAGCUCCUACUGGAAGUGAGCCGUGUGGUGCAAUGAAAGCGGAUAAUGGCUAUAAAACCCCUUCCGAAGGUAGUGCUAAUCAACCUAGUGAAGAUGUUCAAGCCAGUGCAAAGACAUGUAAGCUCCAGGAACAACUGCUUGAUACGAUGAAUAGAGCUAAGAAGACCAGUUUGUUGACAGACGUUUGUAUCAAAGGGAGUAGUAGAUCGGAUGGAGAUGAUGUCUCAACUGGCCGAUCACCUGAAAAGCAUUUAAGUGAUGAAGGAGAUUUCCCAUCCCCGCCUUCUUCUCCAAGAGUUUCUUCCGUGAUUAAUGCCUUGCAUAAUCUGUCAGAAGUGCUUGUUUACGAAUGCUUCAACAAUGGGAGCUGGCUGAUGCCGGAACAACUUGAGAACCUUGAUAAAGUAGUAGAGAAUCUCACCAAGUGCUUAAAGAAAAUCACCAGUAACAAGACAAUAGCAGGGGAAGCAUCAGUUCCAACUCCAGCUAUGAAUGUAUCCUGUCCAAACGUGGUUGAUCUUAAUGAGGUAUGUGAUGCAGCUCGACCCUGACAUUUGUGAAUUAUAUCGUAGGUGGAAGUUAAAAAGAUACUUAUUUGCAUGUUCUAUGAGCGGAUCAUUUAUUUCUUAUGAGUCGUGAUAACUUGAGUUUUCACAUGAGAAUAGGUAAAUCUUGAUCUUGUUUGCUAUUAGUUGCUUAAGAAUACACGUUUCAGGCCCCAAAUGUAGCUGCUAAAGACUGUCAAGGAUUUAAUGUCAAGCCACUAGACAGCGUUGGACUCAAAGAACCGGUGGAUAAGGAUACGACUGAGAUGACCCAGGUAUUUUUACUUGCAUAAUAUUUGUGCAAUAUUUGUGAACUCUUCUUAUAUACGGAUUCUUAACUUUGCAGAGUAUUAAGAACAUACUUGCUUCCAACUUUCCUGAUGGUGAAGAAUGCCACCCACAAACUCUCUUGUACAAGAAUCUCUGGCUCGAAACUGAAGCUGCCUUAUGUUCCUCGACUUGCAUGGCUCGCUACCAUCGUAUCAAGAACGAGAUUGAUAGUCUCAAGUUGCAGAAUAGUGGUUAAUAACUUUAUAACUUACUCUGCACAUUAUCUUGCGAGUACGCUUCAAAAGUAUUUGUUUUAACUGUUCAUCUGUUGCUUUUUUACAGAGGUCUCUGCAGAUGUAUCAACCUUUAUGCAGGAACAGGAGACGACUGAAUCACUCAUCAAACACGGAAGCCAUGGUGGGAACAAUGUAGUAACAACUAGUCGUGACGCAUCACAAAGCCUUAUAUUCAACUCUAAUCCCGUGGAUGCAGUACUUUCACUUAUGUCCAGAAGCUUUACCGAAAAGGAAAAUCAUAGGAACGUCAAGCCUGAUGCUCAGAAACUGGACACUGUACGGCAGGAUUGGCAUGCAUCCACAACAGAGGAAAAAUACGAUGAUGUUAUAGACCGGUUUCAGAUUCUGAAGCUUCUGGAAACGAAGCGCAAACUCAAAUCUCAGAUCAGCCCGGAUUCAGAUAUUGGUGUUAUGGACAGGCUUCAGAUUCUGAGGCCGCAGGAAACAGAUUGCAAACUCAAUUCUCAGAACUUCACAGAGACGAGAGAGGAUAAUCCAGAUCAUCAACCUUCGGAGAUGGCUAAAGUUGGCAGAAGCAGCCAUGUGACUGAUGUGAUGGAUAGAUUUCAGAUACUAAAACGCCGAGAAGCUGAGCAAGUUCAGAAGUCUCUCGACAGCUUGGACACAGAUUCAGAUUCAGAAGACGAUCAGCCAAGAAACAAGACGCAAAUUUGUGAUCACCUCUGGCCAGACUCGAUGAUGACAGUAGGUAGAGAUUCACAGAACGAGAUGCACGUCGGUGCUGAACCAUCUGGAUACUCGGACUGGGAACAUGUCCUCAGGGAUGAUUGAUUACUGGAACUUCCUUGGACAAGCAGUUUCGAUCCUUUUUAAUUGCUUUGUUUGUGUAUAAAUAAAACGGCUUUGUGUGACUGACAUUAAAUGAAACUGUGUGGAGUGGUAUUUACUGUCUUUAAAUUUGAUGUGUUGUUCCUAUCUAAGUUUUACAAAGCAAGAGGGAGGGAGAUUCAUUAUUGCACUAACAAUGUCUCCAUCGACACCCUUGAGUGCCAUGACAGAGCUUUGCUGCGUGAACUCCAGCCUGAGUGAAGACCAAGUCACACAUGAUAUCAUCAUAGGCAAGGCAAUGUUGCAUUAAAGCGUUGAAUUGUUUCCUGUUUCGUUUGCCAAGAAUGGCGUCUCUGAUCACAAGUUUGAUUUCUGAUUCCAUGCAUCGUAGCAACCUUAAUUUAAGAAGUUGGGCCAUAACCUAAGAACAUUGUAGUAUAUAUAUAUUAUUGACCAGUUCCUCCUUACCAACAUUAUUAUAGAAAAAGAAGUUGCUCUCAAUAGGUUGUCCACCAUGAGAAAACAGCAGAAGCAUGUCUCAAAGACGGCGGAUCCCAAAACUUGAUCUUCUUCGACAUCAGUUGAGAAUUCAGAGUCGAUCCCAGCUGAUCUCAUCGUUGAGAUUUUCUCGAGGCUAACCGCAAAAUCUCUAUCGAGAUUUCGUUGCUUGUCCAGGGAAUGGGCUUCUAUUUUCUGUAGUAGAAACUUCACCCAUUCGUUCUUGACGAGGUCUUCCGCACGUCCGCGUCUCUUGUUCACGUUCUAUGUUGACGGUAAGUUGUUUUCCUACUCGGCACCUCAACCUCGAAAUCCAGACCAGGACUUAUCUCAUGUAGUUGUCGAUAAUCAUAUGCCUAUCCCGACCAGAAUGGGGUCCUUUCUGAUACAUCGCCCUGUCAGUGGCUUGAUUUGUCCUAGUGAAUUGUGGUCAAAACGUGGAUGUAAUGAUUCAAAGAUGAUGAUGAUAUGUAACCCUAGCACAGGACAGUUCAAAAAAUUACCUGCAGCGAGAACAAGAAGGGUUCAUGUGAGAACCUACUUAGGGUAUGAUCCCAUAAAAAAGGAGUAUAAGGUACUGUGCAUGUCGCUUUAUAGAACAUACCCUAAAAUCUCUGAGGAGCAUCAAGUUUUGACGUUAGGAACAGGAAAACUGUUUUGGAGAACGAUUGAGUGUUCCCUAGCUAAAACGAUGCCCUGAGAGUGGUGGGAUAUGUAUCAAUGGAGUUUUGUAUUAUUCAGCCUAUCAAGACAACUGGUUUGGAGUUGUACAAAAUUUUAUUGUUAUUUGCUUUGAUGUUAGUUCUGAAAAGUUCAAAUCUCUGGAAAUAAAUUUAACUUGCUCUUCAACCCUGAUAAAUUACAAGGGUAGAUUAGGUGCGAUUCAAUUUGAUUCGGUUGGUUUUUACAGUGGAAGAACUACAAGUCUUGGUUUGAUGGUUCUAGAUGAUGCUGAACAACAUAAAUGGUCGAAGAAAACCUACAUAUUGCCACCCUUUUGGAAAAAUCUUGGUGUGGAUACUAGGUUAAAUGUUGUCGGGAUGACUGGUGACAGUGAAAUUGUGUUUUCACCCUCCAUUCUUUCUGAUCCUUUCUAUAUUUUCUACUACAAUGCGGAGAGAAACACCACCGUGAAAGUUAGGAUCCAGGGAAUUGAUUUUGUUAAGAAUCAAUACAUUUACACCUUCAUAGACCACGCUGAGGAUGUAAAGCCUAUGUAAGUGCUAGGCUUUUAAGGUUUCAUCAGCUACGGAGAAAAAAAGAAAGAAGGUAUUGAUGUCCAUCUUUCAAUCCAGUUAUAAGCUUAUUGAUAUAUGUACUAACAAUUAUAAACACUAAUAUAUGCUCGUAACAAUUAUUUUCUUAAGGAUUGAUUGUAUUUUUCCAUGGCCAAGGAAGAGAUUGAUUAACUAUAAGCUUGAUUUGCUUUUUGUACUUUCUUUUCUCUUUGUUUAAAAUCAUCUUGGUGUUUUGCCCGCACAUGCGGGUAGAAUCUUCUUAUUAGUUUUUGUCUUACUAAUUUAAAACCAACAUAAUAAGUUUUUAUUUAUGUUUUCAAAUAGUUAAAUCAAACAUCAAAAUAUCGAUAUAUGCUAAAUAUUUUUUCAUAGAUCAAACAUCAAAAUAUAUGUUAAAAAAUACUCAUAUCUUAGAAAUAGUUUAGAAAAUAUCUUUAUAUAAAUAUUUUUUUCUUGACUAAUACUGUAUUCAACUAGGAGUUUUGCCCGCACAUGUGGGCAUAGUUAUUUAAUAAAUAUUUAUUAAUAAAUAUAUUAUUAGUUUAAAGAUCAAAAAAAUUAAAUAAAACAUUAAAUUUAUACUAUUUUAUGAAUCUUUCAAUUUCUUAAUUUCUUAAUUUUUAUUGAUUUAAAAACAUUAAUUUGGAUAACAACACUAAUAUCUUGUAAAUAUGUUGGUAUCUUGAACAAAUUUUUAUUAUAUUAAUUUAUAAACAAUGAUAUAAUUAAAUAAACAAAUAUAUAAUUGUUAAUAUAAAGUGAUGUUAUUAAACCAAAUUCUAGGAAUUAGCAUAACCUACAAAAUCUCAAAAUAAAUCAAAAGCACAAGAAUGUUAAACCAAACUCAGCUUUACAUAUUAUAUUAGUCAAAGUAAAUAAGAAUAUUGAUAUAUGUAUAAUUAUAUUGUGAAAUACUUCCUAUAAUAAUUGAAUAAACACUCAAGCAGAACAACUACGUUGACAAACAAAACAUUAAUAUGUAAUGUAUAUUUGAGAAAAUUUUAAUUUAAACAAAGUUAUAAUUCUUUAAAACUAUUGAAAAAUUAAAAGAAAAUAAAGUAAAUUUUAAAUUUUCAUAAAUAUAAGGUACUUGUUGUAAAAAACAAUAUCUUGAAAAUAUUCUUUUUUGAAAGUUAUUCUUACAACUGGAUGAUAACAAUAAAUAUUUAAUAAAAAUAAAAACAAAGAAAUAUUAAAUUUUUAACUUAAAUAACAAAUACAAGUUAUUCUUGCAACUGAAUGAUACUAAUAAAAUUGAAAACAUCACGAAAAAUCACGUUAACAAACAAAUAUAAAUCAAAUUUAUUGUUAUUGUUUAUAUACUUCUUUUUAGUAUUUUAAUACUAAAAUAAAUUUAUUAAGUUUUAAAAAUAUGCCAUGACAUGGCAUAUUAUGUUUACAAACAAAUAUAAAUAAAUUUUUGUUAUUUUUUAUAAAACUAUUUAUAAUAUUUUAGUAUAAUGAUAAAUCUAAUUAUGAUAUGUGUAUAUAUAAUACUAAUUAUAAAAAUAAAUAAAUAAGAAAUAAAGAUGUAGAUAAACACAAAAUAAAUACAUGGAAUUAUCUUCUUCUUUUUUCAAAAACGUUUUUCAUUUAUUUUUGAGAUAUUUUUAUAAUAUUAGUUUUUAAUCAGUUAAAUAAUGAAUUAUAUAAUUUAUUUAUUAGAUAUUAAAACUUUAAUUAGUCAAAUUAAAAUUAAAAUUGUUUAAUGACUAAGCCUAAAAUCAUGGAGAACAUGACAAAUAAGCAAAUUCACUUCUCAAAUAAUAGUAUAAGUUAUAAAUUAUUUGGUAUCUUAAUUUUUUAACUGUUAUAAUAAAAAUAUUGUUUCCAGAUAGCUACACAAUAUAUAUAUAACUUAUCUUAUUUUUAAUAUGUUUUUUGAUAAUUAUAUUAUAUUAUUUUAUAAUAAAAUAUUUAAUAUAACAUAUAAAUUUAAUAUUAUUAAAUAAAAGUCGCUUCUAAUUAUAUAUAAAACUCAUUAAGGGUAUUGUUUAAAUUAAUAAAUUAGUGAAUAAGUUAGAAACUAAUAAUAAAUCAAUAACCCAACUAAAAGUAUAAAACCUAAUAAAAAUAUGACAAAUAAGAAAAAUUAACUAAAUAUUUAAUAUAAAAUAUAAAUUAAUAUUAUUAAAAUAAAAUUCGUUUAAAUUAUAUAUAAGAUUCAAUAAGGGUAUUUUCUUAAAUUAAUAAAUUAGUAACUCAACUAAAACCUAAUAAUAAAUCAAUGGUUUAGCUAAAACCUAAUAAAAACAUGAUAUAUAAGUCCAAUGUAGAUUAGAUCGAGCAGUAGGCAAUGAAGACUGGCACCACAAUUUUUCCCACUCGAAUGUGGAGUAUCUCAGGCUUUGGGGGAAGUGAUCAUCGUCCCAUCUUCACCCGAUUUCUAUCCAUAAAGAAGCAGGACAAGAGAGCUUUUAAAUUUGAUAAGAGAUGGCUAGGCAAAAAUGGCUUUCGCGAUUCUAUUCUCCAAGGUUGGAAUGACCCAUCUCUCUUUAGCAAGGAGGACCUUCACGCACGGAUAGCUCACUGCCGUAAAUUUAUUUCUCGCUGGAAGCGCGCCAACCCAUCAAACGCAAAGCAAAAAAUAGAGGAAAUCAAGGACCAACUCGAACAAGCGCAAGUAGAUGAUAAUUUCACGCAGGAAGCUAUCCUAACCUUCAAGUGGAACCUCUGUACCGCCUUUAGAGAUGAGGAGCUCUAUUGGAAGCAAAAAAGUCGAGCUAACUGGCUCAGAGAAGGAGAUCAGAAUACUAAGUUCUUCCAUGCUACCACAAAGCAGCGAAGAGCCAGAAACCGGGUGACAAAACUUCGUAGGCCGAGUGGUACCUGGGCAGAAACGGAAGAAGAUAUCGAGGAGGUAGCGACAGGAUACUUCCAAACCCUUUUCACCUCGUCGGAACCCUCUGAUUUUGCUGAAUCCCUAAGAUACAUUACAGAGAAGGUUACCCCGGCCAUGAACGAAGCUCUGACUAAACCUCCAUUAGAUGAUGAGAUCCGCAAAGCUGUGUAUGACAUUAACCCAGACAAAGCACCUGGCCCUGAUGGAAUGACAUGCCUAUUUUUCCAGAAGUACUGGGGUAUCACAGCAGAGGUGAUGUGCCAAACGGUGAAAGACUUCUUCCAGCACAACGUUUUAGAUCCCCGUUUGAACCAGACAAACAUAUGCCUCAUCCCAAAGACCGAUCGUCCUUGUGAAAUGUCACAAUUCCGACCAAUCAGCCUAUGCAAUGUAAGCUAUAAGAUCAUCUCCAAAAUCCUUAGUAAACGCCUCAAGCGCUGUCUGUCCAGCCUAAUUUCGGAAACUCAAUCAGCCUUUGUGGCUAGGCGGUUGAUUACAGACAAAAUUCUGGUAGCACACGAAGUCUUUCAUGCCGGAGAACAAACCCGAGCUGUAAAGCUAAAUUUGUUGCAAUCAAAACGGAUAUGAGCAAAGCUUUCGACAGAGUUGAAUGGUUCUUUCUUGAAGCACUCCUACUCAAGCUGGGUUUCUCGCCUAAAUGGGUAUCGUGGAUAAAAUUAUGUAUCUCCUCAGUGUCUUACCAGGUACUACUAAAUGGAGAACCAAAAGGCAGCAUCCACCCCUCAAGAGGCAUUCGACAAGGCGACCCGCUCUCCCCUUUCCUUUUCAUCAUCCUCACAGAAGCUCUUAUUUCCAGAUUCAAGGAGCGGAAAGGGAAGGAAGAAUCACGGGCCUGAAAAUCGCGAGAGGUAGUCCACCAAUCUCUCACCUUCUGUUCGCAGAUGAUAGCCUCUUCUUCUGUAAAGCAUAAAUCCCGCAAUGUACGGAGUUUAUGAAGAUCAUACAUACAUAUGGUUGCUCUUCAGGACAGCAACUAAAUGUAGAUAAAUCUUCCAUUCUGUUUGGUAACAAAGUUCCUCCUGACCUAAAAGCUGAGAUAAAGCAACCACUAGGCAUUUCAAAAGAAGGGGGCAUGGGCGUCUACCUAGGACUACCGGAAAAAAUAUGUUGAAGGAAUGAACAGGUUUUUGCGUUCAUUCAAGAACGUCUAAUGAAUCGUAUAAACUCCUGGUCUGCGAAAUUGCUUUCUAAAGGUGGUAAAGAGGUCUUAAUAAAAUCAGUAGCCCAAGCCCACCCGACCUACGUUAUGUCAUGCUUCCUUCUCCCACAGGAUAUCAUUCGAAAGCUCACAAGUGCCAUUUCUCGCUUCUGGUGGAGCACAAAAGAUAAUAAUCGUGGGCUUCAUUGGAUUGCUUGGAAAAAAAUUUGUUCCCCAAAAGAUAAGGGAGCCUUAGGCUUCCGGGAUUUUAAAAACUUUAAUCUCGCAUUACUUGCGAAGCAACUCUGGAGGCUCAUACAAUACCCAAACUCUCUCCUAGCUCGCGUACUAAAAGGGCACUAUUAUAGACUAUCAAACCCGGUAGAGGUCAACAAGGCGAGCAAUCCUUCAUACGUGUGGCGUAGCCUCAUGGCUGCUCAACCCCUCCUGAAAGCCGGCCUACGGAAAGCGAUCGGAGCUGGGCAAACGACCUUGGUUUGGUCCGACCCAUGGCUCCCAACGUCACCAGCACGCCCACCCAUACCAUGUGGCCCUUCUUUCAACCCCUCGCUACGGGUUAGUGACUUGAUAAACCCUCAUUUGCACCAAUGGAAACACGAGCUCCUACGCGAACUAGUAGUCCCUGAGGACAUUCCAUAUAUACAAAGUCUCCAGCCGACUCGAUCUCCCCGAGGCAUUGCUUAUUGUUGGAACCUCACCAAAUCUGGCGUGUACUCGGUCAAAUCUGGGUAUACCUUGGCCAUGGAUACAGAGGAGCACUUGGAGAAUGAUCAGGUCCUUGAACCUAGUAUAACAACUCUCCAAGCCAAAGUCUGGAAGCUCAAGACUUCCAAGAAGAUACAACACUUCAUCUAGCAAGCGAUCUCCAACUGCCUUCCGGUUUGUAGCUCGCUCUCCGAUCGCCAUUGCGGAACUGAUCGAUCCUGCCCGAGAUGUGGAGCGGAAGAAGAAACCCGGAACCACCUACUCUUCGAAUGUCUGCCAUCAGUCCAAGCCUGGGCUCUGGCGGACUUGCCGCACUCUCCGGGGCUAUUCCCGAGCAACUCGAUCUUUAGUAAUCUGGAUCACGUAUUAUGGCGCGCAAAGGAACUUGCAAUCCCGGAAAAUAUCAUUGCAACUGUUUCGUGGGUCAUUUGGUACAUAUGGAAAGCUCGCAACGACAAAGCUUUUAACGGCAAAGAUAUCUCACCGUUAGAGACCAUACAAAUAGCCCGCGCAGAGGCAGAGAGUUGGCGCACAGCCCAGAUCAUCGAACAAUCCCAAGAAGAGACAGGCGACGACACUCCCCUUACCCCUCCACCUCAAGACCCCAGCCCCCAAUGCUUGAUCGACGCAGCCUGGCACAAGGAUGACAACUUUUUUGGUGGGGGAAUGGUUCUAACGACUGAGGAUGGGGUGACGACUUACGGUUCAUUUGCUAGUAACCGAGUCUUAACCCCCUUACAUGCUGAGUUCCAAACUCUACUGUGGGCCAUGAAAUCCUCCAUUCAGUUGGACCAUAGCACUAUGAACUUCAGGACAGACUGCCUCCAGCUAGUCAACCUCCUGGAAGAAGACGACGAAGACAAAUGGCCAUCCUUACUGGCUGAAUUCGAUGAGUAUUUGUUUGAAUAUUUUUGGGUAUUUGUUUGUUUUUCGGGUAUUUUUUAGUUUUCACAUAUUUCAAAUUUUUUUGGGUCUUAAAUAUCCGGACCCAUUAUGUAUUUGAAAUUUUUGAAAUACUUAGUUGAGUCUAAAUGUCUAGGACCUAAAAGAUCUGAACCCGAAAGGAACCAAUCGAACCCGACCUCAAGACCGAAAUGCACAUGUCUAAUAUCUCUCUCGUAAUAUUUUGUGUGCAUUUUAUAAGAGUUAUAUUUGUUGAGUUGGUGAGAUUUAAGAUUUACUUAGCAGUUUUUUGGCUAAUUUAAUAGUAUAGAUUUAUAUGGUUUUUAAUGGCUUUUAAUUAAAUAGACUUAAAUAACAAAUUUUUAUUAUAAAUUUUUAUUAUAGUUGGUCUUUGAAUAUUUUCGGGUAUUUGUUUGUUUUUCGGGUAUUUUUUAGUUUUCACAUAUUUCAAAUUUUUUUGGGUCUUAAAUAUCCGGACCCAUUACGUAUUUGAAAAUUUUGAAAUACUUAGUUGAGUCUAAAUGUCUAGGACCUAAAAGAUCUGAACCCGAAAGGAACCAAUCGAACCCGACCUCAAGACCGAAAUGCACAUGUCUAAUAUCUCUCUCGUUAUAUUUUGUGUGCAUUUUAUAAGAGUUAUAUUUGUUGACUUGAUGAGAUUUAAGAUUUACUUAGCAGUUUUUUGGCUAAUUUAAUAGUAUAGAUUUAUAUGGUUUUUAAUGGCUUUUAAAUAGACUAAAAUAACAAAUUUUUAUUAUAAAUUGUAACAAUUUAGCAGACCCGAUUAGAAAUCAUAACGAAGAAAAAAGUAGAUGGAGGAAUACAUCAAUCGUUGCUCAAAAAAAAAAGAAUACAUCAAUCAUGAACAGUGCAAAAGCAACGAAACAGUUUGGAUUCAUGUGGUAUCAUUAGGCUUAAGCAGUCCAUAAGGUCCAAGUUAUUACCGUAUACCCUAACAACAUUACUUAGAUUACAUUUAAAUAGUAUUUAUGUCGUAUAAUGUAAAUAUAAUAGGUGGGCUAAAAAUGAAAAGGUCCAAACAAUUUUCAUAGGUAGAUUUGUUAAGACUUCUUCUCUUUUAAUAAUAUUGAUUUUUGCAAUCAAUAUAUGCUAAAAAUAAAGAAGACUAAUAAAUAAAUAUAUAUAAAUAUAUAAAUCAUUAGAAAUACAUCAAAAUCUUCAAAAAUUGUAUGCGCUCAUGCCAUCGCAAUAUAGACAAAAGGCAGUUAAGAGGAAGAGAAGUUACAUGGCAACACUUACAGAGCCAGCUUAUUAUAGAGGACAAACGGUACAUCCAUCACCAAAUCCAAUUGUUGGAAGAUUCAUUUUGCCUUUAAUUUUUUUUUUUAGAUCUGCAUAGUGAUAGAAAAUAAGGUAAUUUAAAUUAUUAGAUUAUACGAUAGUGAAAACAUAAGCAGUAAAGCAGGUAUUCAAGAAAAAUAUAUUUAUUACUUUUAUUGUAGUAUUUUAGAAGAUGCCUAAUCAUAUGAGUAUUAAAAAUAUCUACACAAAAGUUUUUAAUGGUGUUGAGCCGGGGGUGAACAUUUGGCCAUUUUCCGCAAGAACUAAGAAGAAUCAUAAUUGUUACUAAGAGUGUCAAAUGAGUUGUCUACAUCUAAAUAAAUUUGUUUACAUGGAUAUUAUUUUUGGAUAUUGAUUGUUCAAAGUAAAAAAUAUAUAUACUAGUAUUAUGGCCCCUGCUCUGCAAGAGGAACACACUGUAUUUUCAAUAUAAAUGUCUUACAAAAAUAAAAUAAAAACAUUAUUAUUUUAAGCAUAUAAUUGUAUAAAUCUACUUUUCCUGAAAUAUUACUUACAAAAAUAAAAUAAAAACAUUAUUAUUUUAAGCAUAUAAUUGUAUAAAUCUACUUUUCCUUAAAUAUUAUAUGUCUUGACUUUUAUGAAUGCUUAAAAAUAAAAAUCUAUAAAAAUAUAAAAUAUUUUAUUAAGUAUUAAAUAGUUAGAAAUCUUAAAAAUAAAAACUUACACAUUUGUAGGGAAAAUAUAUGUUAACAUUUAUAGCAAUUAGACACAACGUUAUUAUUUUGUUCCAAUUAAACACAUUAACAAACGAACUUCAAAAUAUGAUCAACAAAUAGUACGUAACGUUAAGAGAAAAAAAACACACGUAUGAAACCUGAUAUGACAACAAGGUUUGGACUCAGGAUACUGUGGGAUCCUGAUAAUCAUCGGUUUUGUCUACACAUUUUGGAAGAGAGUCAAUUGAUAUUUUAAAUACUUAAAAUUCAAUAAAAAAAUACUUAAGGCACAAAUGCCAACUAACCUGGAUAUCUGCAUGAAACUAAACUAUGAUCUGUCACAUAAACCCAUGAAAAUAGUAUGAGUACUUUUGCUGUUUGUUUGCACAGAAUAACAAAGUAGUUAAUUGAUGUUGAUUUCCAAGAGAAAAGUUCUGGUUAUUUAUAUAAUUUCACAAAUUGAGAUAGUGGACAUAAAACCGUUACAAAGAUCAUGGGAAGUAGUAGUUGUGAUAACUUAUUUUUGUUUCAAAAGCGUGCUCUCGUUUGUUUAAAAAAAAUCACAAAAAGAAUUAUUUAAAAAAAUUUGAUGACACAUGUCACUUGGAGAAUUUCCAAAUGACUUAUGCUUUAUAGUAUAGAGGAACACACUGUAUUUUCAACAUAAAUGUCUUACAAAAAUAAAAUAAAAACAUUAUUAUUUUAAGCAUAUAAUUGUAUAAAUCUACUUUUCCUUAAAUAUUAUAUGUCUUGACUUUUAUGAAUGCUUAAAAAUAAAAAUCUAUAAAAAUAUAAAAUAUUUUAUUAAGUAUUAAAUAGUUAGAAAUCUUAAAAAUAAAAACUUACACAUUUGUAGAGAAAAUAUAUGUUAACAUUUAUAGCAAUUAAACACAAUGUUAUUAUUUUGUUCCAAUUAAACACAUUAACAAACAAACUUCACAAUAUGAUCAACAAACAGUAAGUAACGUUAAGAGAAAAGAAAACACAUGUAUGAAACCUGAUAUGGCAACAAGGUUUGGUCUCAUGAUACUGUGGGAUCCUGAUAAUCAUCGGUUUCGUCUACAAAUUUGGGAAGAGAGUCAAUUGAUAUUUUAAAUACUUCAAAUAUAUAUAUGACUAGCUCGACUAUUCACAUGAUACAAAUCAUAAAUUAAGGCUUCGAAUGAUAACAUCGUAAUAAGCAGUGCGGAUAAAGCAGAUAAUAUAAUAUAAUACAGUUUUAUUAACUAUAGAAUAUUAGCUGUUAAAGAAAAAAAAAGGUACAUAUUAAAAUGUGAAUGGUAACAAAACUGAAAUGUGGUAAGAAAUCAAUAGUAGAAUAGUAAAAAUAUUAUAAGCGGUGCGGAUUACAAACUAAAUUUAAAUAUAUGUUAAUAUAACAAAAUCUAAAUAUUACUAAUAAAUAUAUAAAAUUUAAAUUCUUUUUAUGACAUAACAUAAACAAAUAUACUAUCAAUAAUUUUAAUUUUUCACAAUGUAUUUGCAAUAUUAUCUAUUAUUUGAGCCAUAUAUAUAUUCUCCACCUAGUGCAUUUGUUGCAUUUGAUGCUUAUAUGUCAUCUAAAUCGUUCUCCUAUUUUGUGUUGUUUAUUCUCUUCUUUAUCACUACUUUAGCAAAAUCUGCAUCUGCAAAAUUUUGCUGUCCCAUUGUACUAUUGUAGCCAUUAUAACUCUUUUUAUAUUAAUGUCGUAUCUUUGAAAAAUUAGAGAGAAUCCUACAUUUCUUCUUCUAAACCCCAAAAGUCAUCUUGGUUCCGGAACGUAAAGAAGCAUAACGUCCAUUGAUGAGUUCUUUUUUAUUUUUUGGAAGGGGACCGAAGUUAAAUUGAUAUCUCACUACUCUAUUAUGUGAUGACCUAUAAAGAGGUAGAAACCCUUGUUUAUUAGGAUAGUCAAAAUUGGCGAGAUAAUAUUUGUCUAGAUUUAUAGAAAAAUCAGAAUCACUUUCUUUUGCCACGGUGAAAACAAUUGUGUCGGACAUAAUCCUUGAGCUUCAUUCUACAUAUAAGUGAAUAAUUAAGGUCACAUAUCGCCAUGAUAAAUAAAGAAAAUAUUGAAAAGAAAAAAGGUUUGUAUACGUACCUUUUCAAAAUAUCAAACCUUCGUGUGCUUUCAAAGCAUACCUUUGCAAAGAAAAUGAAAUGAAUAUUUUUUUUGUAAAUGAAAUGAAAAAAAAAUUGUGCGUAGGUAUAUCUCUGCAAAGUUUCAAACCUUCACGUGCUUUCAACUUAGGUGCUUUCAAAUCUUCCAAACAUUCAUGUGCUUAUAAUAUAGGUAUAAAUUGCUGGAAGAAAAAAGUUCACCAACUCUUCAAACUCACAGACUUUCGUUCUUAUGUGUUUCACGUUUGUCUUACAAGCCGCACAGGGCCGGCUGAGGAGGGGGACAAGCGGUGCGACCGCCCCGGACCCAAGCCCGUGUCCCUCGUAUAUUAAUAGUUAAGGGGUUCAAUUUUUUAAAAAAAUUUAUAUUUUUAUAUAGAAAAAAUUAUAAAUAUAAUAAAUAAAAUUGAAAAGGGUCCAAAAAAUAUUUGAUAUGCAUAUAAUUUUAUUCUCAUCACAAAUUUUUUUUUUGCCCUAGGACCCAUAACAAUGUUAAGCCGGCCCUGAAACCGCACAUUAUAUUUCUUUUUUUCAAGUACAAACCACAUUAUGUGUGUUUGUGUGCGUGUUAAUCAUAAAUGGUUACAUAAAUCACUAUGUACAUGUGGUUAGUUUCAACUACUUCAGACAUCGUAACCUAAAUGUGUCAAAAUAGGUUCUUCAUGUUAGUAAUUUAUCAUUUAUGGCAUGUAUGAAAAAAUAUUCUAUUUAAUUAACCAGAUAGAGUAAAUACUCUCAGGCACGUUCUCCAAGAUUACUGUUGAGAGUUGACUUUCUGAUACAACCACCGCAAACCUCACCCUCCUCCGUCAAUACACAGUAACUCCGCCGCAACUACUUUCUGGCGAAGAAGUUUCUUUCCUUUUUGAGCUCCUUGGAGCUCGGCUUUCUCCCCUACGGUCAGCAAUCAGCAAUCAUAUGGGUUAUUUGAUGCAUAUCUGGAAAGGAGAAUGGACCACAAAAAGACAGAGUUUUAAGACCGACUCCCUUCAAGGGAACAACUCUUAAAUCUGUUACUUAUUACCCUACUGUCUACUACAGUUUUACCUCGUCUCUGAGGGUUUUACCCAAGUGUUGGGAUCAAUCUUUUUUCACUGCAUCUCGGUUCACUGCUGUGGGUAGCUUCUCAAUCUUCAAUGGCGCAACGUUUUUCACAAGCUGAUAAAGGGAUAUGGGUAACAGGCCCAUCAAGAUCUUCGCGCAGACCUCCGGUAAAAAAUCCGGCAGUAGAUAACAAAGCCCUUAUAGAAGAGCACAAAUUUACCCUAAUUGGUAGGGUAACAAACCCGUCUAUUUAGAAGACAAGAGCCCUUGUGGACUUCUUUCUUCAACACUGGAAGGUGACAUGAUCGAUAACUGGCAGGGACCUAGGCCCACAUCUCUUCCAAUUCAAGUUUGAGACGAAAAAAGAUCUGCAAUCGAUCCUUGCUCAGGGCCCUUAUCACUUCAAGAGAUGGAUGAUAAUUCUCCAACGUUGGAAACCCAUAGUCUGAACAUUUUUCCUGCUCUGAUCCCUUUCUGGUUUACUAUCCAUGGACUCCCCCUGCACUACUGGACUGAUGAAGCCAUUGGUAAUGACCUGGGACCAGUGGAAAAUUUUGAAGUGGAAAAAGCGAGAAUCAGAGUCUGGGUAAAUGGUCUCCGCCCCCUGGAAAUGAUUCUAGAUAUCAGCCUACCAUCAGGAGAAAUAAAGCAAGUCGAAUUGGAAUACAAGAAUCUGGAAAAACACUGCUUUAUAUGCCAUUAUCUCUCCCAUGACAAAGAUAACUGUCCGUCCCAGCAAGCUCAAGCUAAUACCAGAUUCUCUGGAGCUCAAGCCAUGGGAAUCUCUCAGAACCGAACGCGGGAUAGGUUGGAGUCUGAUAGACGUCGACAAGCUGAAAAGAAACUAGCACGUUCAGACUCCCUUACCAACCCCUGAGAGCGCAAAACUCAGGAUCUUGGCAGCAGUCCUCUCACGGGGAAGCUACUUAUGGUCUUGAUUGGAAGAAUGAUAAGAACUUCCGCUUUACCUAUAGAGCUAGGAAAGAUCCCCACUUUCAGCGUAACUCAACCAGAGACUCUGAUCCUCCUGCAAGAAGACACUCUGCCAAAGAAAGACUUUCCUUUGAAAAGGUAGUGGUCUCAGAGUCGCAAGGUCUAUUUGUAUCGUGACAUAACAUGAGUACCUCGAGAAAUGAAUGGAGACCAGUCCAGACUCGAUCCCAGACUGGAACAAACUCGAAAACCUCUCUUGCGCAGGUGUCUCAUACUCCUUCACCUAGACCUCAGCGCGAAGGAAAGUUGCUUCACACUCCGACUUCUCACCAGAAAUCAAAUGAGGAAAGCCUCCCAUUUCAAGAGAGGAGAUCAGCUCUGGACAAACUGUCUCUACCAAAGAAAGGAUUCCUCUCCUAUAAGAUGGAGUCGCAAACGCUGAAUCAGGACGUCUACAAGAAGUAGACAUUCAGUACUUGGAGGAGAACCUAACGGUACAUCAACCUGGUGGGAGCAACAUACCGUCUUCAUCAAGGAAACAAAACAGAGUAACUCCGGAUCAAUAUGACCCUUCACAAGACCGGUCUACGAUUAGAACCUUGAGUGAAGAUAGGCUCCAUGUAUCCCUCAGACUUUGUUCUUUCCGUGAACCAGAUGAACCAAUGGAAUCAAUUCCUAUUGCAAAAAAGAGAACCAGGGCUACUAAUUCCUCUGCUCCUCUGCUCAGUAGCAAAGUUGAUGGACCCUCUCACACCAACAUGAGAGAACAAAAGAGCCCGGCUCAAGCGAUUGGUGUUAAGGGCAGGAGAGUUAAUAAACUCAAUACUCCCCACGGAGGAAGAUCCUCCAAGACGCAAUGACGAGCGGUAAAACAGCUGCUACUAUAAAGAGUGGUCAUCAACCCCGUAUGAAGUUACUUCCAGCCACUAAGAAGAAAGGAAUGGAUUUUCGGUCUGGUCCAGCUCCUCUUCCUUAGUCAAUAUGAGCUGGAAUUGUCAAGGUAUCGGGAGCGACCUGACAGUUCGUCGAUUCCGGGAAUUCCGUUCAAAAAAUUCUCCGGAUAUAAUGUUCCUGAUGGAAACAAAGAGGCAAGACGAGGAGGUGUUUAAGAUGUAUCGGGCACUGAUUUUACAAACCAUUUCAUCGUUCCUCCCAUUGGUCUAAGUGGAGGCCUCACUCUCUCGUGGAAAGACAAUAUCAAGUUGGAUAUUCUUUACUCAUCACCGAAUGUAAUUGAUACAAGCAUUGUCUUCAAUAAUAAAACCUUUUUUAUGUCUUAUGUCUAUGGUGAGCCGAAUCGUGAGGAUCGUCUGCGGUUCUGGAAACUAAUGUCUGAGUUGGGCACCCAAAGAACAUCCGCCUGGCUUAUCACUGGCGACUUCAACAACCUCUUAGACAACGAUGAAAAAGAAGGUGGACCUUUGAGAUGGGAGGGAUCCUUUCUGUCCUUCCGUAACUUUGUGUCUCAAAACGGUCUAUGGGACUUACAAUUUUCUGGGAACUCUCUCUCGUGGAGAGGAACGAGAUAUACUCACUUCAUCCAGUCUCAGCUUGAUAGAGCUGUGGCUAAUCUCGAUUGGAUGGAACUCUUCCCAGCAGCUAGAUGUGAGUACUUGAGGUUUGAGGGGUCUGAUCAUCGACCCCUACUGACCCAAUUUGAUCAACACCUGCGAAAUAAGAAAGGGAUAUUCCGCUAUGAUCAGAAGCUUAGUUAUAAACCAGAAAUCAGAUCCUUGGUGGAGAACUCUUGGGAGAAAUCUAACCCUGAAUCAUUUUUGACUAAGAUCAACAGAGUGCGAAGAAACCUAGUGGAAUGGGCUAAAACCUAAACAGCAGCCAGCAAGGAAUGGAUUGUCUCUCACCAAAGACUCUUGGAAUAAUCCCUCUCGGCUAGUGUUCCAGAUUCUGCAAGAAUAGAAGAACUGAAAACGAUCCUUGAAACAGCCUAUGCGGAGGAGGAGGCCUUUUGGCGACAAAGAAGUUGUGUCCAAUGGUUAAGCGCUAGGGAUAAAAACACUAGCUUUUGCACGCGGUAACUAGAGGAAGACGAUCUUGCAACAAGUUCACCAUUAUUGAAGACGAGACAGGGAGAGCCUUUUAUGAAGAAAAUCACAUUGUCCAUGCUUUUGUCUCCUUCUACAAGACGCUCUUCACUGCAGGAACUCCGAACCCGCUGGAUGUGGUUCGCGAAGCUCUCUCUCCUAAAGUGACACCGGAAAUGAACCAAUCCCUGAUCUCUAUCCCGGAUAUGGCCGAAGUCCAAGCAGCGGUGUUUUUAAUAAACCCGGAUAAAGCCCCGGGACCUGAUGAUUUCUCUGGGACAUUAUAGGUGAGGAUAUCUAUCGAGAUAUCCGCAGCUUCUUUGAAUCCAGCCACCUUCAUCACAGACAGAACGAGACACAUGUUAGGCUCAUACCGAAAAUGACGGGAGAAAAGAAGGUCGUGGACUAUAGACCUAUAGCGCUGUGCAACACUCAGUACAAGAUAAUCGCGAAGAUCCUAUCGAAGAGACUCAGACCGCACCGCCACAGCCUGAUCUCACCGUCACAAUCCGCCUUUGUAGCGGGUCGCUCUACUGCGGACAAUGUACUGAUCACGCAUGAAAUCUUGCACUUCCUGAGACAAUCAAAGGCGAAAAAAUAUGUGGCAUUGGUUGUCAAAACCGAUAUGAGCAAGGCAUACGAUAGGAUCAAAUAGAACUUUCUGCGCAAAGUUCUUGAGCGAUUGGGCUUUCAUGAAAUCUUGAUUGGGUGGAUAAUGGAAUGCGUUUCCGCAGUCUCCUACUCAUUCCUCAUAAACGGUGGUCCCCAGGGAAGUGUCACACCAUCGAGAGGCCUUCGACAAGGCGACCCCCUUUCGCCAUAUCUCUUUAUCCUGUGUACGAAGGUAUUGGCGGGACUGUGUAAGCAAGCUCUUGAGAAUGGGUCUCUCCCGGGGGUUAAAGUCGCGCGCAACUGCCCUCCCAUUAAUCAUCUCUUGUUCGCCGAUAACACUAUGUUCUUUGGAAGAUCGAGCUCGUCGAGCUGUAAAGCCCUAGUCUCAAUUCUUGAGAAAUAUGAGCUCGUCUCCGGACAGUGUAUAAACCAAGCCAAAUCAACGAUCACCUUCUCUUCGAAAACAAAACCGGAAGCAAGAGCCAGAGCAAAACGCGACCUGAACAUCACUAAUGAGGGGGGGGGGGGGGGUAGGAAAGUAUCUCAGGCUUCCGAAAAACUUUGGCAGGAGAAAAAGAGAUAUCUUUGCAUCACUUGUCGAUAGGAUCCGCCAAAGAGCACACAGUUGGACGGCCAGAUUCCUUUCGAGUGUUGGGAAAAUGAUUCUGCUGAAAUCAGUCCUUGCAGCCCUACCCACGUACACGAUGAGUUGUUUCAAACUACUGAAAUCUCUGUGUAAGCAAAUUCAAUCGAUACUCACUAGAUUUUGGUGGGACAUGAAACCAGAGUUGCGGAAGAUAUGUUGGGUAUCUUGGGAUAAGCUCACUCUCCCGAAGAGUGCGGGGGGCCUUGGCUUCCGUGAGAUUGAACAGUUUAAUGAUG